rnacentral:lncRNA from 1 species
UUAGUCAAAAGAUAAAAUAGUAAAGGCCAUUUUGUUUUAUUUUUCCAUAAUAUUAUACAAAUAGUCACCAUGUAUAUAUACAUGGCACUGACAUGAUUGUGAAGGCCUACACACUUUCUAAUGGUUCUACUGGCUAUCAAAUUUUUUUACUAUAAUAGUAAUACAGGUAAUGCAGCAGCAAGUAUCACACUAUUAUUUAAUUUUGAUAGCCUUAAUUACCACCACAGCUUGAUGAAGAAGCAAAGGCAGUUAUGCCUCUAACUCAAAUGAUGCCUUCAUUGUGGGUGAACGACUCACGGGAUCAAUUUCAAUAGAUGCAUUGUAUCCAAACUUUGUAACUUUAAAUUUUGGUUUUCCUCUUUUCUCAAGGUUGGUUUUGAUUUGCCCCCAGUGAACAGGUUGUCUCUGGAUAUCAGUAUAGACCUGCAGCAUGCAUGCAAAUGGCAUGCAAAUGGUCAUAGAUUAAAUGAUUAUAUAUACGCAUUCUAACUAGUUAAUUAAUGAUAAGAUUGAAUUGAAUGCAACAAAUACCUUGCUGUUCUCAUCUAGUGGGUUGCUCCAGGCAACAACCCACUUGGUUCCAUCACGUCGCCUGUACACAAGACCAGCAACUGAACCAUGACUAUCAGCAUCAUCAGUCACUGAUUCAUGUGUAAACUCACUCGAAUCUCCAUCUUCAAUUAUUUCUGGGAAAUCCGCAUAAUGAGAGCCUUGCCAAACUUUCUUGUCAGUCAAGGUUAGAGCUUCGCUGGAAGAGUUCCAAAGCUUGCCGUUUGUGCAUUGUUGAGCUCUUUUCAUUUGAAAAUUAGCCAUGGUAGCUUUGUAUGUGCUUUGGUUAGCUAAAGUUUGUUUUGGUUGUGUUAUGCUUCAAAUAUUGCAAUACACACCUACUUAUAUACUAGUUUACACCAUGCAUGCAUUGUCCAUAACAACAACGUUUAUGCGCAUGAAAUUAUUUGACUUCAUUCACAUUAAAACUUUUUUAUAUUCUUUUUCCCUUUUUUUAUUCAUAUUCUUGAUGUGUCUUUUCACUUUUAAGUACAAAUUCUUUUCAAUUAAAGAAAUAUUUUUAAAGUAUUUGGAUUUUUUUGAUAAAGUAUUAUUUUUUAAAUUAAAUAAUUAACAAUAUAAAGGUAAACUACUUUCAUUAUGAUCUAAACUAUUAGUAAGUUUAUGUUUGGUUAUUCAAUUUAAAAAAAACAAGCUACAAAUUGAAUAUUAAACUAUUCAAAAAGUUUAUUUAAGUCAAUGAGCUAUUAAAGUUGUUGUUGUAUGACCUUCUCUAUUUGCACCACCUGUAUCUAUCAAAAGUUCUCAUUCCCCUUCUCUUCUACAAUUCACUUUUUUCUCAAGAAAUAACUUUUAACCUCGUGAAUCUGCGAACCAAAAUUCAAACAAAUUUUUUCUCCCAUCACUGACAUUGAUAGUCAAAUCAACUUGGAUAUAAAAUAUGUUCUACUACUUGUUAAUGGUUUUUGAUCCACCAUACCGAUCAUUGAAUCAUUGCUUGAAGCUUGCUAGCAGGACUUUAAAAUAAAACUUUAAUAACCUAGUGACUUCAAUAAAAACUUUCAAAUAGUUCAAUGACCAUUUUAUAAUUAUUUAAAAUUGAAUAACUAAAACAUAAAUUUACUAAUAAUUUAAUAUGAAUAAAAUAUAAUUGUUGGGGACUCAAACUAAACUCACAUCACAUAAUUAAAUAAAUAAUUUCAGCGGAUGUAUUACAUAAAAAAAUUAGUACAUAAUAAAAAAAGUCAUCUCAAAAUUAAAAGCUUCAAAAACAUACUUAAAUCUUAAUUAUAUAUUUUUAAGAAUUAUUGAAAUAAUUUUCUUUUACUAACUAGUGUCAGUUUCUAGUACUUACACAACUCCAUGUACAUCAUUAUCCUGGUAACCUAAUAGUCACCAAAGCAUAAGUAUACAUACAACUAGCGUGACUUAAACCCAAGCCACAACUGGAAUGAUGAACACCUUUAACUAUCAAGCUAUUACAUGAGAUUCAUAUUAAAUUUUAAUAUGUUAAUGAUAUGUUUGAAAUAUUUUUUAUAUUGAUACUGUAUUUGUAUUAAUAAUUAAAUAACUUUAAAUGUAAUUUAAUUUUAAUAACAUUAACCAUUUUUCCAUUAAACUUUGAAUCCCUUUGAAAAAAAUAGUGAUUUGUGUAUUAAGCAUAAAUUUUUGUUGGAAAAAAAGGGAAUAAAACUUUGCAUUUGAGAUGCUGAAAGGCUAAGGUAUUAAAGCAAUGAGACUUUUAGUAUGGAGCUGAAUUUUGUUAUAUUAUAAAAUAUGCUUUAAGUUUCAAGACAUUAUUAGUGGAGUUAGAUGUGUUUAGGUGACACUUUCAUGAUUUUGACAAGUUAAUUACUUGUUAUAUGCAAUGUUUUGUUUUUCAGUUGAUCAAUGAAUUAUUUUUCAUCAAAAUUCUUCUUGUUUCUGUUUCAAUCCAAGCUAUAUUUUCUUGUUCUUCUAGCUCGUGUUUCUUAUUUUGUUUAGCAAGUCACUAUUGCUUAAAGCUUAAGACUUUGCUGUAAUUGCUUAGUGAUAACUCUCAACUCCAAUAAUUUGUAUCGGGAGCUGAUUUCUUAGAUGACCUUUCUCUUUUCUACUUUAAAAAACAAUGUUUUCAUCAAGUUUCUCUCCAGCACCACCACCAGUAUUCAAUAGUGAAGCCUACCACAUUUGGGUAGUCAAACUGAAAACCUACCUGCAGGCAUUUGACUUUUGGGAAGCUAUCAAUGCUGAUGUUAAACCACCACCCUUGAGAGCUAACCCAUGGUAGCUCAAAUCAGGCAGCACUUUGAUGACAAAGCCAAGAGGUAUAAGGCAAUGUCAUGCAUCCAAAACAGUGUGUCAGACUUGAUUUUCACAAGGAUCAUGGCCUGUGAGACUCUAAAACAGGCUUGGGACAAGAUUAAAGAAGAGUUUCAAUGCACUGAAAAAACAAGACAACAACAAAUUUUAAACUUAAGAAGGGAUUUUGAAAACCUAAAGAUGAAUGAGUCAGAGAUAGUUAAACAAUACUCAGACAGGAUUAUGGCUAUUGUGAACAGCAUCAGAUUGCUUAGAGACCAAUUCAGUGAAGCCAGAAUAGUAGAGAAGGUUAUUUCAACCUUACCAGAGAGAUAUGAAGCCAAAAUCUCUUCCUUGGAAGACUCAAGAGGUCUGUCAAACAUCUCUUUGACUGAACUAGUCAAUGCCCUCUAUGCUCAAGAACAAAGAAGAGCUAGCAGACAGGAUGAGCAUCAAGAAGGUACCUUUUAAGCCAAGAGCAAACCAACAUCGAGCUCCUUUGGCUAUAAAGGGAAGAAAACUUGGUCAAACAAGCCUAGAAGAGAUGGAGCAAGAAGAAGGUAUCCACAUUGCUCUCUUUGUAAAAGGAUUAGCCAUUCAGAAGCAAACUGCUAGUAUAGACCUGAUGUGCAGUGUAAAAUUUGCAAACAAAUGGGCCAUGUUGAGAAAGUGUGCAAGAACAAAAACUAACAAAAGGAACAUCAAACUCAGCAGCCUAAAACAGAAGCUCAAAUGGGAGAAGAGAGUUGUAGUCAGGAAGAACAAGUAUUUUUUGUCUCUUGCUCAGCUACCAAAAGAAAAGCCACAAAAGGGUGGCUGAUUGAUAGUGGUUGCACAAACCACAUGACACCUGAUGCUGCUAUUUUCAAGAGCAUUGAUAGAAGCUUUAACACUAGAGUAAAAGUGGACAAUGGACAUUACAUUAAAGAAGAAAGCAAGGAGAUGUGCUGAUUGACACUCCUUCAAGUACCAAACUUGUUUCUAAUGUUCUAUUAGUACCUGAAAUUGAUAGAAAUUCUAAGUAUUGCUCAGAUUUUUGAAAAGGGAUACUCUGUAGUAUUCAAAGGCAAAGAGUGCCUGAUUAGUGAUCCAAGUGGAUCCAAUCUCAUGUCAGUAACCAUGACUGAUAGAAGCUUUCUUGUUGAUUGAAACAAGAUUUCAGUUAGUGCCUACACAACUGCAUUAGAUGAAUCCAAACUGUGGCACAAAAGGUUUGGCCAUGUCAAUUAUAAGUCUUUACUGCACUUGUCUAAAGAAGACUUUCUUGAAAAUUUCACAAAAACAGUUUGAAAACAGGAUGUUUGUGAAGUGUGUCAGCUAAGAAAGCAAGCUAGACUACCAUUUCCUACUAAUAAGGCCUAGAGGGCCUCUAAAAAAUUGCAAUUUGUCCACACUGAUAUGUGCGGCCCUAUAAAGACUGAAUCUUUGAAUGGCAGCAAGUAUUUCAUCAUUUUCAUUGAUAACUACUUAAGAUUCUGUUGGGGCUAUUUUCUCAAGUAUAAAUCAGAAGUAGCUUCAGUGUUUUCAAAGUUCAAGGCUAUAACAGAAACUCAGUCAUGGUGCAAGCUUAAGACACCAAGGUCAAACAAUAGGACAGAAUACACCUCAGCAGUGUUUCAGACCUUUUGUGAGGAAUCAGGCAUUGAACACCAACUCACCAACACCUAUACACCUCAGCAGAAUGGUGUUAGUGAGAGAAAGAAUCGAACUCUGAUGGAUAUGGCCAGAUGCUUGUGUUUGAAAGGAAUUUGCCAAAAAGCUUUUGGGCUGAGGUAGUUAGUACUGCAAUAUACCUUCAAAACAGGCUACCAACUAAACCACUGCUUGAAAAAACACCAUUUGAAGCUUGGUUUGGGUUCAAACCAUCAGUUUCUCACUUGAAGGUCUUUGGUUGCAUAUGUUAUGCACAUAUUCCUGUAGUCAAGAGGGACAAAUUGGAAAAGAAGUCUCAGCCUAACAUUCUAGUUGGCUAUAGCAAUGUCAAGAAGGGCUAUGAGAUUCUGGAUCCUACAACUUACAAAGUCUUUUUGAGUAGAGAUGUUGUGUUUGAUGAGAGAUCAAGCUAGAAUUGGGAUAAAAGUGAACCAGAAUGUGCUGGUCAAGACUUGGUGACAGGGCAAACCGAAGCUGAUAAAAAAUGUCCUAAGAUGGACAUAUAUCAUGAGCCUGUUAGGGGAACUAGACCACUAAGUGAAAUAUAUGAGAGGGAAAAUGUAACUAUUAUUGAGCCAAUUUGUUUUGAAGAAGCUCAAGCUCAAGAAGGCUAAAGGCAAUCCAUGCUUGAUGAAACGAGCAUGAUUCACAAAAACCAGACCUUAGAGUUAGUUGCAAGACUAGUUCACAAGAAGGUCAUUGGAGUAAAAUAGGUGUUUCAAGCCAAGCAUAAUACUAAUGGAACUUUGAACAAGCUAAAAGCAAGGUUGGUUGUGAAGGGGUUUUGUCAGAAAUAUGGGAUUGACUACCUUGAAACAUUUGCACCAAUGGCAAGGCUUGAUAUAAUCAGAUUAUUGGUUGCAUUAGCUGCUCAAAGGUAAUGGAAAAUACAUCAACAUGACGUAAAAUCUAUCUUCCUCAAUGGAUUUCUUGAUGAGGAGAUAUAUGUUGAACAACCAGAAGGUUUUAAAGUUGCUGGUGAAGAAGACAAAGUUUACAAGCUAAAAAAGGCCUUCUAUGGCUUAAAAUAGGCACUAAGGGCAUGGUAUGACAGAAUUGACACGUAUCUAGCAAGCUUGGAGUUCGAGAGAAGCAUUAGUGAGCAAACACUAUAUGUAAAAAAGGAAGGUGAUGAAACACAGCUCAUAGUCUCCUUGUAUGUGAAUGACUUACUGGUAAUAGUAGGAAAUAACGCUAUGCUGUCUGAAUUUAAAAGCAAGAUGGAGACUGUGUUUGAAAUGUCAGAUUUGGGUGAAAUGUCCUGCUUCCUUGGCAUGGAAGUGUCUUCGACUCAACAAUGAAUUUUCUUAAGCCAAAAGGCAUUUGCCUUGAAAAUUCUGAAUAAAUUCUCCAUGCAAAAUUGCAAGGCAACUAGCACACCAGUUACUGUUGGAGAAAAAUUAUCAAGCCAAUGUGAUUUCGAGAAAAUGAAUGAAUCAACCUAUAGGAGCCUAGUGGGAUGUUUGCUUUACUUAACAGCCACAAGGGCAGGCAUAAUGUAUGCAGUUAGUCUCAUAUCUAGGUUCAUGCACUGUUGCAAUGUGAACUACUUUCAAGCUACAAAGAGAGUCCUCAAGUAUAUUAAAGGCACUCUGAGCUUUGGGAUGAUGUUUACCUAGGUUGACAGCAUGAAGCUCCUUGGUUUUGCUAACAGUGACUAGGCAGGAUUGAUAGAUGACAUGAAAAGCACCUUAGGGUAUCUGUUUACCCUUAGUUCAGCUGUUUUCUAUUGGAGAUCAAAGAAACAGUACAUUGUAGCUCAAUCAAUAGCUGAAGCAGAAUAUGUAACAGCUGCAGAGUAAUUUGGUUAAGGAAGAUCAUGGUAGAUAUAAACUUGCAUCAAAGAGAAGCAACAUAGAUCAAAUGUGACAACCAAUCUGCUGUUGCAAUUGCAAAGAAUCCAGUGUUUCAUGGGAAAACAAAGCAUUUUAAGAUCAAGUUGCAUUUUGUUAGGGAAAUGGAACAAUCUCAAGAAAUCAGACUGGUUUAUUGCAGUUCUGAAGAUCAGUUAGCAGAUUUCUUGACAAAGCAUCUUUGUGUGUCAAGGUUCAAGAAUUUGAGAGCCAAGUUGGGAGUUUGCAGCAUGGAAGCCAAGGAGGACUAUUAGAGGUUGGCUUACAUGCAGCUCUUGAGAUCGGGCCAUGCAAUUAGCAGCUAAAGCACAUGCAGCUGUCAUUUUGAUGUUUUUGAUGAUGUCUUGUUUUAGUUACAAUUGAACUAAGUUUGUAAUGAAUUUGUUGUAAUUUGGUGCUGAUAGAUUUGAUAAAUCAACUUAACCAAGCGUGCAAGCAAUGUUUUAUAAGUUUCAAGACAUUGUUAGUAGAGUUAGGUGUGUUUAGGUGACACUUUCAUGAUUUUGACAAAUUAAUUACUUGUUAUAUGUAAUGUUUGGUGUUUCAGUUGAUCAAUGAAUCACUUUUUAUCAAAAUUCUUGUUUCUGCUUUAAUCCAAGCUAUCUUUUCUUGUUCUUCUAGCCCGUGUUUCUUCUUUUGUUCAGCAAGUCACUAUUGCUUAAAGCUUAAGACUUUGCUGUAAUUGCUUAGUGAUAAGUCUCAAGUCCAACACAUGGUUUGUUGGUGGGAGUUUAUUUGUUGUCAGGUUUUCUAUGUUAUGGUUCCUGGUUUGUUGUUUGAUGAUUCGAUGGAUGGACGCAGAAGUUGGAGAAAAGAUAGAGUAUAAAUUGAGACAAAAGAUAAAAUAGUAAAGGCCAUUCUGUUUUAUUUUUCCAUAAUAUUAUACAAACAGUCAACCAUGUAUAUACACAUAGCACUGACAUGAUUGUGAAGGCCUACACACUUUCUAAUGGUUGUACUGGCUAUCAAAAUUUAUUACCAUAACAGUAGUAAAGGUAAUGCAGCAGCAGGCAGCACAUUAUUAUUUAAUUUUGAUAGCCUUAGUUACCAGCAUAGCUUGAUGAAGAAGCAAAGGCAGUUAUGCCUCUAACUCAAAUGAUGCCUUCAUUGUGGGUGAACGACUCACGGGAUCAAUUUCAAUAGAUGCAAUGUACCCAAACUUUGUAACUUUAAAUUUUGGUUUUCCUCUUUUCUCAAGGUUGGUUUUGAUUUGCCCCCAGUGAAUAGGUUGCCUUUGGAUAUCAGUAUAGACCUGCAGCAUGCACGCAAAUGGCAUGCAAAUGGUCAUAGAUUAAAUGAUUAUAUAUACGCAUUCUAACUAGUUAAUUAAUGAUAAGAUUGAAUUGAAUGCAACAAAUACCUUGCUGUUCUCAUCUAGUGGGUUGCUCCAGGCAACAACCCACUUGGUUCCAUCACGUCGCCUGUACACAAGACCAGCAACUGAACCAUGACUAUCAGCAUCAUCAGUCACUGAUUCAUGUGUAAACUCACUCGAAUCUCCAUCUUCAAUUAUUUCUGGGAAAUCCGCAUAAUGAGAGCCUUGCCAAACUUUCUUGUCAGUCAAGGUUAGAGCUUCGCUGGAAGAGUUCCAAAGCUUGCCGUUUGUGCAUUGUUGAGCUCUUUUCAUUUGAAAAUUAGCCAUGGUAGCUUUGUAUGUGCUUUGGUUAGCUAAAGUUUGUUUUGGUUGUGUUAUGCUUCAAAUAUUGCAAUACACACCUACUUAUAUACUAGUUUACACCAUGCAUGCAUUGUCCAUAACAACAACGUUUAUGCGCAUGAAAUUAUUUGACUUCAUUCACAUUAAAACUUUUUUAUAUUCUUUUUCCCUUUUUUUAUUCAUAUUCUUGAUGUGUCUUUUCACUUUUAAGUACAAAUUCUUGUCAAUUAAAGAAAUAUUUUUAAAGUAUUUGGAUUUUUUUGAUAAAGUAUUAUUUUUUAAAUUAAAUAAUUAACAAUAUAAAGGUAAACUACUUCCAUUAUGAUCUAAACUAUUAGUAAGUUUAUGUUUUGGUUACUCAAUUUAAAAAAACAAACUACAAAUUGAAUAUUAAACUAUUCAAAAAUUUUAUUUAAGUCACUGAGCUAUUAAAGUUAUUGUUGUAUGGCCUUCUCUAUUUGCACCACCUGUAUCUAUCAAAAGUUCUCAUUCCCCUUCUCUUCUACAAUUCACUUUCUUCUCAAGAAAUAACUUUUAACCUCGUGAAUCUGCGAACCAAAAUUCAAACAAAUUUUUUCUCCCAUCACUGACAUUGAUAGUCAAAUCAACUUGGAUCUAAAAUAUGUUCUACUACUUGUCAAUGGUUUUUGAUCCACCAUACCGAUCAUUAAAUCAUUACUUGAAGCUUGCUAGCAGGACUUUAAAAUAAAACUUUAAUAACCUAGUGACUUCAAUAAAAACUUUCAAAUAGUUCAAUGACCAUUUUAUAAUUAUUUAAAAUUGAAUAAAUAAAAGUUAAAUUUACUAAUAAUUUAAUAUGAAUAAAAUAUAAUUGUUGGGGACUCAAACUAAACUCACAUCACAUAAUUAAAUAAAUAAUUUCAGCGGAUGUAUUACAUAAAAAAAUUAGUACAUAAUAAAAAAAGUCAUCUCAAAAUUAAAAACUUCAAAAAUAUACUUAAAUCUUAAUUAUAUAUUUUUAAGAAUUAUUGAAAUAAUUUUCUUUUACUAACUAGUGUCAGUUGCUAGUACUUACACAACUCCAUGUACAUCAUUAUCCUGGUAACCUAAUAGUCACCAAAGCAUAAGUAUACAUAUAACUAGCGCGACUUAAACUCAAGCUACAAUUGAGAUGAAUACCUUUAACCAUCAAGCUAUUAUAUGAGAUUCAUAUUAAAUUUUAAUAUGUUAAUGAUAUGUUUGAAAUAUUUUUUAUAUUGAUACUGUAUUCAUAUUAAUAAUUAAAUAACUUUAAAUGUAAUUUAAUUUUAAUAACAUCAACCAUUUUUUCAUUAAACUUUGAAUCCCUUUGAAAAAAUAGUGAUUUGUGUAUUAAGCAUAAAUUUUUUGUUGGAAAAAAAGGGAAUAAAUUUUUUGUUGGAAAAAAAGGAAAAAAACUUUGCAUUUGAGAUGCUGAAAGGCUAAGGUAUUAAAGCAAUGAGACUUUUAGUAUGGAAAUGAAUUUUGUUAUAUUAUAAAAUAUGCUUGAAUGGAAAGUUUUGUUUUUAUUUUCAUUAUAACAAACUAAAAUGAAUUAAUAUAUUAACUAAUAAACAUGGCUAUCAAAUUGUUAAUUGAUUGGACCACUAGAGGUUCUUCUGCAUUCUUAUGAUGUGAUUCUGGUGUUUAGCUUUGUCUGAUGUUACUCCUUUGUUAUGUUGGAUCCUUGGAAUUUGCCUCAUGAUUUUUCUCAAACGCAUAAUAAAUUUUACUUAAUUUUUCGUCAAUUUAUAUUAAAAUAGAUAAAUAAAAGUUAAUAUCUGUUAACUUUGCUGAUAUCACACAUACGUGAAUGACGCAUUAACAAUAAAUUAAUAUUUUAAAAUUUCAAAAUUUAAAAUUAUUAAAAAAGUAUAUAAUAUAUUUUUAAUCUUUUAAAAAUUAAUCAAUUGCUAACGUAGUAUACAUGUGGCAGUCCAUGUAGACUGACGUUAACAAAUAAUAUAAGUUCAAAAAAUAAAAUAGACAAAAAUUUAAGUAGAAAUUUAAAAUAAUUUUUUUAUAAAAUUAAAAAGUCAAAUAAAUAAUUAAAAAAAACACGUAGAAACAUACAAGUAACAAUUUCAACAUUGAAGUUAUCUCUACAGAAAAUACGGAUCUGUAUAUUCUUAUUCAACCAUGAAUUCAAUAUAUAAUUUUUAACUUUAAAUAUGAGAUAAUAUUUGAUGCAUUGUUAGUUUUUAAGUUUUAUGUACCAUCAAUUAAUAAUAUGAAACAUCAUUACUGGUAUAAAAUAAAAAGUAUUGAAAGACUUGAAAAUAAAUACAUUUAAUUUUAUUUUUUUAUUUAAACAUAAUUAAAUAUUAGCUAUAAUUUUUAUUGAUCUUUCGGAUUUUAGAUUCCAAUUUCUUUUGGGUUUUUAUUGGAAAAUAUGGACAUCACAUACAUAAUAAGGAUAAUUGAUAGGUUAGCCUAAAUUAAAACUGAUCUAAUUUGGUUAGAAUUUUAUUGGGUUUUAAUUAUUAAAUAAAGUAUGGGUUAAAUAUGUGUAGAUACUCUAGUAAUUGAGUUCUAAUCAACUUCUAAUUAGAAUUUGAUUAGAAUUAAUAUGCCAAGGUCAUAAAUAUUAGGGUUAUGGUUCCCAAAUUAUACACAAUAUAUCUUUUCUAAUAUCUCAUCAUUAGGAAAGAGAGAGUAGAUAUUUUCUGAAUUUCUUGUGGAUCAAAUCCUCAAGAUAUGGUAAAAAUUUAAGGAAUUCAUGGAUUCAAGUAUGCUUCCGCAUGUAGUUUUGUUCUUGAUUUAUUCUUGAUGAUUUGACAUGAUAGAUCCUGGUUUAUUCAGUUUUAUUUUAGAUUUAUUUUAUAAAUCUAAUAAGUGGCAUCCGAGCCUCGUCAUGUUGACUCAUUAAGAACGAAUUAAUUCUCUAUUUUUUUUGAUUCAUUUAUUUUUUAGAUUUUAUGAAUUUAUUAUCUCAAUUAUAAACAUUAAAUCUUUUAAAUUUAUAUUAAAUAUUUUAGGGUUUGAAAUAGAAAUUGGGCAAGUGAUAAUGCUUAUGAGGAUUUAUGUUGAAAUUUUAGGGUUUUAAAUUUUUUUUAUGAAUUUGGUUUUUGAGGAAAUUGUUGUGUGAAUCAAAUUAUAGUUUAUUUAUAUUUUUAGAUUAAAGUUUUGUUAAAAGUUGAUAUUGAUGCUUGCGUUUCAUUACGAAAUCAGACACAUUGAUUUUUCUUUAAUAAUUAUGCAUCUAUUUAAAAUAUAUAUAUAGAAAUUGAUAUAUGUUUCGUUUAUAUAUAUAUAUAUAAUAUGCAUGCUUUAAUUGGUUUAAUGCAUGUUGUUUUGGAAAAUUAUAUAAAUAUAUAUGAUUAUCUUUUAAUUUGAUUGAAAGAUGAAAUUAAGGUAAAUACUUUGAAACAAAUAAAUUCAGAUUUUAGCUUUUAAUUAAGGAUGUCUACUAUUUUAAAUAAAUUAGUUGAAAUAAAAUGCCACCAAAAUGACAUCUUUUGUGUAGAUUAGUUUAUUUGAAAUAUUAAGAUGAUUAUAUGUUUUUAUGAUUCAUGCGUUUAUUGAUUGACCCAAAGUUAAAUUAAUAUUUGACAGAAUUUCAACGACAUAUGUGGUGAUAAAUGUGUGACAAUUUUAAGGUAUUUUAUGUGAGCAAUAAGUUAGUCCAAAGAUUAAUUCACGGUUUGACAUAAUUUAUUGUCAAUGUUUGAUUGCUACAACAAGAGUACCGCUUACUGUUAAUAUUACUGUCCAAAGCUUUGAUAUUAAUGUUGUGUUUGGUAUCUUGUGAUGGGAUUAGUCAUUAUCUUGAAUUUAUUAUUUACUUAUGAAUAUUGAUUUAAGCUUGUUUUUGUUCUAUAUUUAGCUAAUUCAUCUUCUACUGCCACAAUAUCUGCUAAUAUAAAUUCUAUACCUAUGCUUAAUAGGACUAAUUUUAAGGAAUGAAAAAGGAACUUACUUAAAGUGCUUGGUUGUAUAGACAUAGACCUUACACUAAGGGAAGAACAAUCUGCACCUCUCACUGUGGAAAGCACCCCUGGUGUUAAGAGGGAUUUUGAGAGGUGGGAUCGUUCAAAUCGCAAGAGUCUAAUGAUCAUGAAACACAGCAUUUUAGAAGCUUUUAAGGGCACAUAAUCUGAAAGAUUACUCAGGCCAAGGGUUUCAUUGAUGAAAUUGAAAAAUCUUUUGCUAAAAAUGAUAAGAUUUAGAUGACAUCACUUCUGACUUCUUUGAUGUUUAUGAAGUAUAAAGGUCAAGGAAACGUAAGGGAGUACAUUAUGAAGAUGUUCCAUACUGCUUCAAGACUUAAGACACUUAAGAUCAAACUUUCUGAGGAAUUGUUUUUUCUUAUGGUUUUGGUAUCGCUUCCUGCCCAGUUUAAUCAAUUUAAAAUUAGUUAUAACUGUCAAAAGGAGAAAUGGAUCCUAAAUGAGUUCAUUUCUCAUUGUGUGCAAGAGGAAGAAAGGUUGAAGGAUGAUAAGUCUAAAAGUGUUCAUUUGGCCAAUGCCCCUAAAGAUAAGGGCAAUAAAAGAAAAUAUCAGAAUAAAGCUGCUAAAGGUCUAGCUCAAAAGAAACAACAAGAAGCUAUAGAGAGUUGUUUCUUUUGUAACAAGUCUGGACACGUAAAGAAAGAUUGUACCAAAUAUCAUGCUUGGCAUGCAAAAAAAGGUAUAAUUCUUAAUUUGGUCUAUACUGAGAUUAAUUUAGCUUUAAUACCUAGAAACACUUGGUGGAUAGAUUCUAGUGCUACUACUCACAUAAGUUUUUCUAUGUAGGGUUGCCUAAGUUACUGAAAGCCAAGUGAUGGUGAAAGACACAUCUUUGUGGGCGAUGGAAAAUCAGUAGAAGUGGAAGUGAUUGGGAAUUUUAGGUUGUUACUAGGAACUGGUUUUUAUUUGGAUUUAAAAGACACUUUUAUUGUACCGUCAUUUAGACAGAAUUUAGUUUCUAUUUCUUCGUUGGACAAAUUUGGAUAUUAUUGUUCAUUCAAAAACAAUCAAUUAAUUUGUCUUUAAAUUCAAAUGUUAUUGGAACUAGUUAUUUAAAUACUUAUGACAACCUUUAUUUUCUAGAAACAGUUGCAUCCUAGAAUGAAACCUUGCAUGUGGAAUCACAUGGUAUUAAACACAAAUUAAAUAAGGAAAACUCAUCAUCAUUAUGGCAUAGGUGCUUAGGUCAUAUCUCAAAAGUUAGAUUUGGAUACCUUGUGUUUGAUGGAAUUUUAGAGUCCCUUGACUUCACAGACUUUGAUGUAUGUGUUGAUUGCAUUAAGGGAAAAUAGACCAAAACCAAGAGAUUAGGUGCCAACAGAUCUUCAGACGUCUUAGAAUUAAUUUAUACAGAUAUUUGUGGGUCAUUCCCUAUGGCAUCCUAGAAUGGUCAAUAAUAUUUCAUAACAUUGAUAGACGAUUAACCACGUUAUGGGUACCUAUAUCUCAUUCAUGAGAAAUCUUAGUCUUUGGACAUGUUCAAAGCUUAUAAAGCUAAAAUUGAGAAUCAACUCAAAAAAAGGACUAAAAAUGUCAGAUUAAAUCGUGGUGGUGAGUACUACGGUAGAUAUGAUGGCUUAGGAGAACAAUGUCUAGGACCAUUUGCGAAAUUCCUAGAGAAAUGCAGUAUUGUCCCACAGUACACCAUGCUAGGAUCAUCUAGUAUGCCUGGUGUAGCUGAAAGAUGAAACAUGACUCUUAAGGAUAUGGUAAAGAGCAUGAUUGCUCAUUCUACCUUACCUGAGUCCCUCUGGGGAGAAGCAUUAAAGAUAGCAGCUUACAUUCUAAAUAGAGUACCGAAUAAAGCAGUUGCAAAAACACCUUAUGAGCUUUGGACAGGUCAAAAACCUAGCCUAAAGCACUUUCACACUUUGGGAUGUCUAUCUGAGGCAAGGCCUUAUAGGCUACAUGAAAAGAAAUUGGACUCCAAAACAGUAAGCAACUACUUUAUUGGUUAUUCUGAGCGAUCUAGGGGCUAUAAAUUUUAUGAUCCCAUAAUAAGGAAUAUUUUUGAGAUUGGAACUACAACAUUUUUUGAGGAUGUUGAGUUCGGGGAGAAAUAAGGUUAGAGACAUUGCUUUUGAGGAAGAAUUGGGUUCUAACUCAAUUCCUACUAUCUUUUUUUAUGAUUUUUAGGUUCUUAUACCUAUCAUUGAUCAAGAAGUGAAUCUAGAACCUCUAUAAGACAAUGUUGAACAACUCCUCAUUCAAAAUGAGGUGAUUGUUCCAGAAGAACAAACUCAACAACCUCAAGAACAAGUGUCAUUAAGUAGGUCUACAAGAGAAAGGAGAAAUGUUAUUCCAGAUGAUUAUAUUGUAUUUCUCUAAGAACAUGAGGAUGAUAAUGGAAUGAUGGAAGAUGAUACAAUCAACUUUCAUCAAGCCAUGAAAAGUUCUAAUUCUCAAAAGUGGAUUGAUGCCAUGAAAGAUGAGUAUAAAUCUAUGCAAGACAAUAAAGUUAGGGAACUUGUCCCAUUACUUGAAGGUGCAAAACCAAUUGGUUGUAAAUGGAUAUUUAAAACCAAGAGGGAUACAAACGGUAAUGUGGAGAGGUAUAAGGUGCGUCUUGUAGCUAAACGAUAUACUCAGAAACAAGUUAUUGAUUUUACAGAGACUUUUUCUCUAGUUUCAUCAAAACACUCCUUCAGGAUAAUCAUGGCGCUUGUUGCUCAUUUUGAUCUUUAGUUAUAUCAGAUGGAUGUUAAGACUACGUUUCUUAAUGGCAACAUUGAAAAAAUAAUUUAUAUGGUGCAACCAGAAAAUUUUGAGUCGGAAGAUUCAAAGAAUAUGGUUUACAAAUUGACAAAAUCCAUUUAUGGACUCAAACAAGCUUCCUUUUUAUGGUACCACAAGUUUCAUCAAAUAAUUAUUUCGUUCGAUUUUGAGAUGAAUAUUGCUAAUAAUUGUGUGUAUCACAAAUUCAAUGGGAGUAAGUACAUCUUUCUGGUUCUUUAUGUUGAUGACAUUUUGCUUGCCGCUAAUGAUAUAGGCUUAUUGCACAAAACCAAGAGGUUUUUAUCUAAGCAUUUUGAGAUGAAAGAUCUUAGGGACGCCACUUUUGUUUUAGGAAUUCAAAUACAUCGAGAUCGAUCUUGAGGUAUUCUUGGAUUAUCACAAAAGAUUUAUAUCAAUAAAGUACUCAAAAGGUUUGGCAUGCGGAGUUUUAGACCAAGUGACACCCCUGUUGCUAAAGGAGACAAAUUUAGUCUUACUCAAUGCCCUAAAAGUAACCUUGAAAUUCGGGAAAUGAAAAAGAUUCCCUAUGCAUCAACUAUUAGGAGUUUAAUGUAUGCUCAAGUAUGUACGCGUCCGGACAUUGCAUACAUUUUUGGGAUGUUAGGCAGAUAUUUAAGCAACCCUGGUAUAGACCAUUGGAUAGUAUCCAAAAGGGUUAUGAGAUAUCUUCAGAGAACAAAAUAUUACAUGCUUACUUAUAAGAGAUCAGAUUUUUUGGAGGUUGUAGGGUAUUCUGAUUCUGAUUUUGUCGGGUGCCAAGAUAGUAGGAAAUCUACAUCAGGCUAUAUUUACCUAUUAGCUGAAGGAGCUAUAUCUUGGAAAAGUGUCAAACAGACACUUGUAGCUUCGUCCACUAUGCAGUAGAGUUUGUAGCAUGCUAUGAGGCAUCAAACCAUGGAAUAUGGUUGCGAAACUUUGUCACAGGGAUGCACAUUUUGGAGAAUGUAGAAACAACACUCAAAUUAUUUUAUGACAAUAAGUCAGCAGGGCUGUACAUGAGUUCAUCUAAGUCAAAGCAUAUUAACAAAAGUUUCCAUCUCUUUAUUCAUUUUUAUAGGCUUUACUUUUGUUAGGAUUUGUCUUUCAACAAAAUCAAUUUCAUAUGGUAAUGUUACUUCAUGCUUUUUCCUAUUCCAAAAGGCAUUAGAGAUGUUAGAAUAUAUUGUUGACUCGAUUUCUGUUUUGAUUUGAUUUAUUCUUUUUUGAUCUUUUGUUUUUUCUAAUUGUUCAUUUAAUUUUUUUAAAACAUAUUUCUUCUUUAAGAAUAAAAAAUUAUUCUAUUUAUGAUUAAUUAAAUUAUUGAUUCGUAAUGAAUAAAAAUGUUAAUAAGUUAAGAUUUUUAAUAUUGUGAUUUGUUACUUUGUAAGGUUUGAGUAAAGAUAUAAAGGGGUUCCUAAUAUAAUGUCUUAGGUAAUAUCUUUUAUCAUUAAAAAACAUGUUUGAUGUUUGAUAUCUUUAUUACAAAUUUCUACAUUAGGGAUUUUGAUAUGUGUCUUGAUUUUCCACAUCUAUAACAUUUUAUCGUUUUAUCUUUUUUUUUCGAUUUUUGUUGUUUCUGUUAUUUACUAUAUUUCCUAUACUUUGAUUUUUUUUAUAAUAUUCUGAAAUAUUCUUUCAUAUAUUUUUUCAUUUUAUAGGGAAACAUGUUUUUGAAGAAGAAGGUUCAUUUCUAAUGUCAAAUUGGUGGCAGAAUGAUAGGCAAUGGUAGCAAUUUAAAAAUUCUCAUAGUAGAAACCCCUUGUAGGAAAUAAGAAAAUAAAAUGAUGUUUCCUUAGAGAACCAAUUCUUCUACAAGCUUUACCUCUAACCAAUACCAAGAGUUUGAUCAAACCUCAAACAACAAUGUUAAUGAAUAAGAACAUUAUGAAAAUGUUCACCGAUGUAUACUAUUUUUAAACCCUUCAAAUUUUUAUUUUACACUAGUAAUAAUGUGUCAUUUUAUUAUCACUUGAUGGUACAUAAAAUCUAUGCACCUAUGGUUAGGGGUGAACAAAGCUCGAUUCGAUUUGAAAAAAUUGAAAAAAAAAUCAAAUUUUGAGUAAUUCGAGUUUCGAGUUCGAGUCGAGUUGAAUUUUACAAUUCGAAUAAUAGAUUGGUGUAAAUACCCCUUUAAUCCAUGUCAAUUUUGAAAAUGAGCAAAUUGAUCUCUCUCAACGAAAAAUACAAAAUAACUCAAAAUAAUUUUUAAAAUUCAAAAUAUUUAUAAAAAUUCCAAAAUUUAUAUUUUUAAAAAAUAAAAAUAUUUCUAAAAAAUAUAUAAAGAAAUUUAAAAUUUUAUUUUUUUCUAAAAUAAUAAAUUUAGAGACCUAAAUAAGUUAAUUAAUGAUUCAAGUUUAUAAUUCUAAAGUAUCUUAUUAUUAUUAUUAUUAUUAUUAUUAUUAUUAUUAUUAUUAUUAUUAUUAUGCUUUGAAAAAGUUUUCAAAUAUAUAUAGUUUCAAUUGUAGGUGUUCUAGCAUUAAAUUAAUUAUACUAUAGCAAAAUUUUAAUUUGAUAUAUUUAAUUUUUUAAUUAACUGAACAAUUUCACUUGAUUCGAUUCGACUUGAAUUUCAUUUCACUCAAUUCAAUUUGAAAAAAAUUAAUCAAAUUAGAAUGAUAAAAUAGGAUUUAUCAACUUGAUUAACUUGAAUUUUUUUUACUAGAUUCAAUCGAACGCUAACCCCUACCUACGGUACAUUAAAUAUUCUCCCUAUAUUAUUAUUAUUAUUAUUAUUAUUAUUAUUAUUAUAGUUUUGGCUUUAUUUUAUUUGCACUUUGUAAUGACGUGAGAUAUUUCUAAGAUUACAAAUUAUUAUUAUUAUUAUUAUUAUUAUUAGCCAUAAAAACAUAAAAACUUUAAUUAUAUCAGAAAAUACAAAAAGUUAUGGUAAAAAACUUGACUCAGAAGUACAAGAGAGCCACAACUACCUCACUGUAAAACUAACUUCAAUAUCAGUUCGAAGGGGGAGUAGGAAAUUCAUCCUUGUCAAGAAUGAACACCAAAGAAGUUGGUGGUUGUCAAGUCCAACCUGUAACGCCUUGAAUAGUUUAAAUAUAUUUUUGUGAAAUUUGACAUAAAGGUGUAUUUGCUCAGUAGUUAAGUGUUUUAGGUGUGUGUAUCAGGUCUUGGGUUCAAGUCUCAUAUUUGGGGAAAAAAUUUAUUAUUAUUUAUUCAAGCAUUAUCCCUGUUAGGCAGGCUUAUAAAAUAUUGUUUGUUAAUCUAUAUCAAAAUGAGCCUGCUUGUUUGAGUGGUAAGGACUUAGUGUAUUGGAGGUCUUGUGUUUGAAUCUGUGCGUGAGUGUGAGUGUUAAUUUUUAUUUCUGUUGCCUGAUAGAGGUUCGGUGGAACUGGAACUCUGAGGUUGUUGGAUGAGAAUCUGAUGUCAGUUUUGGUGGGAUUUGUUGUUAGUGGGUUAGUCGGGGGAGUUAGGAUUUUCGUUAAUUUUGAUUUAUUUUACUUUUUUUUUAAAAUUUUUAUCUUUUCCCAAAAACCUCUCCCCUUUUUAAUUUUUUUUGUUUCCCACUAUCAAUUUUCUUUCUUUUUCAUCUUAUCGAUUUCUAUCUUCAUCUCCCUGUUAAAUUACAGUGCUUCGAUUCCCUUUUUUUGUACGUUUGGUAAGUGGUGGUAGUAAGGUUUUUGCUUGAGUUAAGGAGAAUUCUUUUAAAUCCGUUUAAAAAUGAUGUUGUCUUUUUCAUUAGUUCUAAUUUUUGGGUUGUUGGCAGCAGCGAAUCGGCAGGAUCGGAGCUCUCUUCUUGUGGAAUCGUAAUAUCGAGGAUCAUUCGGGAAGUUGGGUAAGUAAUGAACGCUUGGGUCUCGCUGUGAUCAAUUUAUUAUUUUGAUUUAAUUGAGGAUGCAAGACUAAUUUUGGGACGUGCUUUGUCGAUUUUUAGGUUCUUGUGGUCUCAGGAUUGUUUUCACAGCAAAAACAAACCAGGUGUGCACCUUAAACACGAAAAUUGAGGUUCGAAAAAAGCCGAAAAAUUGCACUGUUGACGCCACACGGGUGUGCACCCAGCUGUAUGGUUGGCCAUGUAUAAGACACAGUCGUGUGACUGACGAAGAUGUGGCCGUGCACAUGACACGACCUUGUGUCAGUGUGAGUGUAGUCGUGUGGGCCACACUAGCUAAGUCAGAUUGGGCGUGUGGGUUUAGGGUCAGGCCAUGUAGGCCACAUGAGCAAGGCCAAUCUAGGAGUGUGGGCCUACGUGGGCAGGCCACAUAGGCAUGUAGGCCCAGAAUUUUGAAAUUUUCCCUAGGGUCGCACGGGUCGUUUCGAUUGACUGUGGACCUACUGUAAGGUCGGUAAAGGCUAACCAAACCCUAAUUCAUGUGAUCUGAUAUUUUGAUAAUCUGAUUUGAGUAGGACAUUGAUAUGUAUGUAUGACUGUUCUGUUUGAGUAUAUAUAUAUGUUAUCUGUAUACAAGCAUGUUAGGCAUGUUAAUUCUGCUAAUUUUGAAUUUUGUAUCUGUGUUUGGGGAGAGAUUUGUAUAUGUAGAGGAAGUGAUCUAUAUGGCGACAUUUCGCCUAUAUUCUGGUAGAUCGACUACAUAUUAUCUAUGAUAUGUCGCAUCGACACUAUAUGGUAUGUAGGGAUGGUUGGGUAUUUUUAACCCCAUAUGAUGUGAUGGGAUGGAUGGAGAUGGUGUGUAGAGGAUGGGUGUAACGCCUUGAAUUUUACACCCAAAAGUUUAGAGAUUUGAGCAUAGGGGCAGUGGGGAGACUGCACAUAAAUGAUUAGUUGUGCACUCAAGUGACAAGAAUGGGCCUGUUGGUCUGGUGGUUAAGUGAGUCUUAGCAUACCUUGAAGAUCCGGGUUCGAGUUACGGGAGGCAUUUUUUUUUAGAGUCAUUGUUUUAUUUUUGUUUGUUUUAGUUAAUAAAUAUUUAGCUAUUAUAUUUUGUAAUUGUAUAUUGCUAUUUUUAUUUUUGUUUUGGACGUUCUUCUGUUUCUCUUUUUGGUUUUUGUUUCCCUUGCUUUUCUUUUUGAGGAUUAUUCGGAUUGCUUUUGAAAGUGAAUUGUCUAUGGAUUUUGGGAUUUGCACUCCUCCUUCGACUUCUUCGUCGUUGGGUCCAAUCACAACACAGGUGUGGGAUUCAAAUCUGGUUUACCUUUUCUUAUUAAUUGAUAUUUCAUUUUUUUGAAUUCCUUUCUUUCAGCUUUUCGUAACUAUACAUUAACCCCAUUCAUUUUUGGGUAUUGAGACAUUGUAAGAGAGGGGAAAGCACUAGUAUCUGAUGUACUCUUGGUGUGGUUAAGGUUAGGGACUAUUAUGGUGGCUUAAACGACGGUUUUGGACUAAUUUUGAGUGGUUUCGUGACCUCCCCGAUGACCACAUGGCUGUAUAACUCGGCACACGGCCGUGUGGAUUUAGGAACUAGGGUUUCGGGAUAAAUUGGGUACCAUACGGCCGUGUGGCUGAUUUGGGGAUUUUAUCAGAAUUCACACGAUCGUGUCCCUUCGGCACACGGGCGUGUGAGUUAGAGAAUUAGGGAUUUUGGAUUCGGAGUCAUAUGGAUGUGUGGUUGAUUUGAGGAUUUAAAGAUCCCACACGGGCAUGUGUUUCAGAACACAUGGCUGUGUCUGGUGGGCAUAUGGGCGUGUGAGACCCUCACACAGUAAUGUCUCCCCUGCACUUUAUUUUAGCGAUUUUUGACAAUGUUACAUGACCUGUUCACACGGCCGUGUCUGUAAUAUCCCGAAUUAGGGCCUAAUCGGAAUAGUGGUUUUGUGACCACAAAUCCGAGAUAGAAAUAAUUAUUUUAUAAUUAUUUUGAUGAUUAUGAUAUGAUUGCAUGAUUGUGUGAAAAUUUCGUGAUGAAAUUCUAUGCCUAAAGUGCUUAAAUUGAAAGUAAGGACUAAAUCGAAUAAGUUGCAAAACUUGCAUUCUAGAAGUUUUUUGUAUGAAAUUGUUUUGGAAUAUUAAUGAGGAGGUCUUAAAUAGCAAUUUGACCAAUUUUAAGUUCAUGGAAAAAAUUAGGACAUGGAAGGAAUUUUUGGAAAGUUUAGUAGUAAGGGUAUUUUGGUCAUUUAGUUAUUAAAAUGAAUUAAAAACAAAAUUAAAAGCCAAUUUUUGUCCAUCUUCUUCAUUAGGCCGAAAUUUCAAGGGUUCUCCAUAGCUAGGGUUUGUUUCAAGCUUCCAAGCUCCAUAGUAAGUGAUUCCAAGCCCCGUUUUUAAUGUUCUUUACGUUUUUGGAAUCCCGGUAGCUCGAUUAAGCUUAUGUUAGCAAUAAUUCAACCUAGGGUUUAUAUUUGGAAAAAUACCCAUAGGUGAAAUUUGUGUAUUUUGAUGUUUUAUGAUAGAAUAUGGGGUUUUAAAUUAUGUUAGACAACUUGUACUACUCGAUUUUAAGCAAAAACGAGUAAAAGGGCUUAAUCGGUAAAAAUACCUAAUAGUCACAAGUACAUGUUAGAGUGAGAAUUUGAUGUUGCCAUAGAAGAGAAAAGUGAUCAGCAUGUUGUAAAACAUAAGAAUAAGGAAUAAAGUUUAAUCCCGAGCCUAGGGGCAAAAAUGUAAAUAUGCAAAAGUUUAGGGGAAAAAUUGUAAUUUUGCCAAAAUUUGAGUUAAGGAUUAAUUUGAUAAUGUGGGUAUUAAAUGAGCUAAAUGUGUUAUUUUAGAUCAAGAAAGACGUGGAAUCGACCUCAAUCAAGGAAAAGAAAAGAUUGUGGACUAAAUUGCAAAAUCUUUAUAUUUUGGUACCAAGGUAAGUUCAUGUGUAAAUGUAGUAACAUAAUUGUCAUUUUAACCAAUUUAAUGUUGUUUAUAUGAUAUGAUGCUGAUUAUUAUCAUGAAAUAUUAUGCUUUGUGGUUAUUGUUGAAUAAUAUGUAAUUAUGUGAAUUACUUGAUGAGUAUGAACUAUCACCGAAGUACCGAUUUCGAUAUUCCGUGGAAGACGGCAAAGAUGUGUGAUCGAGGAAAACGCCCGUUUGAACCUUAGGAAUAGAUUAGGAUACAAGUGACAUGUCACUAGGAUGGUUGAGCAUCCAAACUCGUUGAGUUGAGUCCGAGUUCACUUAUGGAUGCGAAUGUCCGAACUCGUUGAGUUGAGUCUGAGUUCGUGAAAUGUAACUAGGCAUCCGAACUCGUUGAGUUGAGUCCGAGUUCACUUAUGGAUGCGAACGCCCGAGCUCGUUGAGUUGAGUCCGAGUUCACUUAUGGGCGGGUUACAUGGUAGCUUGAUUACAUAUGAGGCUCUUAUAUGCAAAUUAUCCAUGUAUCCGAAUUAUAUUCCGAUGUGUUCAACGGGUAAAGUUUUACUCAAAUAGAGGAAUACUCGAGAUGAAAAGAGACGUAUUGGUAAGUGAUGAGAAAUGGAUAUUUUGUACAGGUAUGUAUUUAACCCUCGGGUUGAGUGUUGAUUACAACCACGAUAAGGUAAUAAGAUGAUGGAAAAUGAUUAAAAAAUGUGAUAAGUGUGUUGAUGAUAUAUGCUAAUGUUGAUUAGUUUGAUUGUUUGUUAUGUUAUUUAUUAUUUACAUAUGAACUUACUAAGCAUUUAUGCUUACUCCCUCCUUCUUACUCAUUGUAGUUUUGGACAAGCCAGUUCAGGAGUCGGGAUAGGUUGAAGGCUCAGUCACACUAUCAGGAAGAUUUUUGGUAAAUGGCUUGUAAAUUUAAGUAUGGCAUGUAUAGCAAUAUACUUAUUUUGUGUAAAUGAUCUUAUGAUAUGGUGACAGAAUGGUUGAGAAAAUAUUUGAUAAUGAUAAAUUAUGAAAAUGGUAAGUUUAGAUUAUGUUUGAUGUUAAGGAAAACUAUUAUGAUACUUAGUGCAUAAAAACUCAUAAGAGGGAUGAAAUUUGCCAUAAACAGAAUACUGCAGCAACACUGACCCGAGUUUGAAAAUUUACUAAAAAUCAUAGCAAUUAAAUUUGGUGAUGGACUACAUAUCAAAUUUAAGCUUAUUAUGUCUAGUGUCACAUGAAACAAAUGAAACAGGUAAAGGAAUUAUAUGUUAGAAGAUAUUUGAAUUUUAGUGAAACAGGUUCAUAGCAGUUUCUGAAUCCCCUGCUCCUACUUUAGAAAUUCACCAUAAAUUUUAAAGAUAUAAUUAGGUGGUGUAUUUUAUAUCCUAAGAAUACUUAUUGAGUCUAGUUUUAGGAGAAACAAACCUCAUAGUCAUAUGAAUUUUUUACAUAGAGAAAUGUGGUUCAUAGUAAAUAGAGGUCAGACCAGUCAAGUCCUGAAAUAGGGGUAACUUUAACUAAUAAACUGUACUAAUUGGCCCAUUCAAAAAUUUUAUAAAAAAUUAGUAGAUAGGUAUAUGAGUCUAGAUUUAGGGAAAAUUUACGGAUCUUGAUUUCGAGUUUCGUAACUCGAGAUAUGAUUUUUCUUGUGACUGUGACGCAAGUAGCUUAAAAGCUGUGAAUAUAGAAACAAAUAAUCCAAAGUUCUAAAAAUGUUAAAUUAAGCUUAGUAACACCUCAUACUCGACUCCGGCGACGGUCUCGGGCGUGGGGGCGUUACAGUGUCCCCGCUUCACACAAGCGUGUGCCUCUAUCACACGGGCAUUUGGAUCACCACACGGCCUAGUUUGUCCCACACGACCGGGGCACACUGGCAUGUGGCCCUAUUUUGCUAGAUUUUGGUUUUAGGGCAAAUGUAAGUGCAAUUGGGACCUUGUAUGUUUCAACCCUUAGCUAAGCUUUAGUGAGGGUGUUUAGACUCUAAUCUGAGUUUGGAUAAUGUGUUAUUUGUGAUUGGUUGUGUGACAUGUUUGAUUCUGAACUUGGUUAGCUGGGUGAGUGUGUGAGCAACUAGUUCUAUCUGACUGUCUGACUACGUGUUAUCAAUAUGCGAGGUUAUUUUGUAAUUGAUACUGAACUCAAGUAAUGAGUGUGCACAUUUCUGAUUCUGAUUGACCAUAUAUGAGUGACUGUCUCUGGUUAACUAUCUGGAAAUUGAUAUUUUGAGUUUUGUGCAUCUGUCUGUAUACAUACAUUUGCAUGAAAUUGUUUUGGGUGGGACUUUGAAGAGAAGGAAGAUUGACUAAACUAAACUGUUAGCUAAUCUUUUGGUUAUUAGCCUUAAUACCCAGAGGGUUAUGGGCGGUCCCAAUACCCUGAGGGUCGUGGACAAUUUGACUGUACUGCGGACUACUACAUUAUACAGAACAUGCAUCAGUAUCGCUGCGUAUCAUUGACUGAACUAGAAGUUUUAUUACAACCUAAUAGUAUAGCGGUUUACCGUAUUGCGCUGUACCGCAUGUACGUUAGCUACGCUACGUACAACUAUUUGAUCUGGCAGUUUAUACUGCAUGUCUGUACCGCGGUUUAUCGCAUUGCAUGAUACAGCUUAUACUCUAGCUUUGCUGCAUAAUAUACGUGACUGGCAGUUUAUCUACAUACUGUUAGCCUCAAUACCCAGAGGGUCAUGGGUAGUCACAAUUCCUUGAGGGUCAAGGACAAUCCUGAUGGCCAAUGUUGCCGGAUAACCCGGGAUGACAUCAAUUGGAGUGCAGGGUUGGAUGGUCCUUACGAGGUCCAGAGUUGAGUGAUUGGUGGGAUGAGUUUAAAGCUCUUAUGAGGAGUAAUGAGGGACGAAGAGGUGUGUUGGCUAGAUAGGUGGGUUUCUCAUAACUCAAUUACAUUCAUAUGCAUCAUAUUGACUGCUCGACUGAAAUGUCUGAUUGACGGUUCGAUUGAAAGGCACUUGUGCCUAUGAGAAUUGUGUAGACUUUGACUGUAACUGUCUGACUAGAUAGUUCUUAUCACUGUUGAGAAUUACUGCUACUGUGCCUGAAUGGUACGUGAAACUGUGUGCGUCUGAUUGACUCAUAUGACUGUAAAGUAAUAUGGUGUAUGAUUGAUUUUGGGCGAAUUCGCUCAACUGUCAUCUGUCUGUCUGUAUGUUUUGCUUUUGAACUACUUCUAGUUCCCUAUUUUCGUUUUUGUAGUUUAAUUGGUUUGUUCUCACACUAAGCUUGAGUAGCUCACCCCCUCUUUUUUUUCCCCUUUUAGGUACAGUUUUGGAUUCUGUUGAUGGGAUCAGUACGCGAAGGUCUCAGACAGUCUCAGUGAAAGUGGAAUAUUAGUUUGUGAUUUUCAGUUUUUUUUUAUUCGUACUGUAAGAUUUUAUAAUAUUAUGGUACAAUUACUAUUUUAAACUUUUAUUCGUACAUGUUAUUCUCUUGUGGAUGGAAUUUUAAACAAUUAAACGUUUUGAUUUGUUUUAAGAUAAAAAUUGUCAGAAAUGGAAUUUUGAACGACUUGUUUUUGUAGAAAUCUUCUCAGGAUUGCUUUGGUGAUCAAUGUAGUAUUUCGAAUUCAGUCUUUACUUCUAGGCCGGGUUUGGGGUGUUACAAGGGGGGUAGGAUUCUGAAUAUCCAUUCUGUUUAUCUGAUUCUGAUAUCUGUAUCUAUUAUGGACUUAGGUCCGAAUCUGUAUCUGACUGUAUAUGAAAUAUGGUGUAUGUUACUUGGCUAUUUCUGUUGGGUUACACAGUGAGUUUACGAAAACUCACAUUUUUUUGUCUAUUCUGUUCAGAGGUAAUCUAUAGACUUAAGCGGGUUAGUGCGACAGAGGCUCAACAGUGACCACUUGACUGAGAUUUGUUUUUAUUUAGUAAUAAUGGUUUAUUUUAAAAUCUGGUUUUCUUAAGAGUUUGUAAUUUUUUGGGACUCUCUGGACUGUAUGAUUUUAACUUUUGGAUUUGGAUUUUGUUUUGUAUUUUUUUCCGCAAUGUUGACAAAAACACUAUGCAAACAAAUGGUUUUAACAAAUAGUUUUUAGAAAAACGAGCUUGGUUUUGUUUAAAAUGAUUUUGAAACUUCUACUUUGAAAUAAACAGUUAAUUUUAAAGAACAACUCAAAAUAGUUUUAGUAAUGUAUAUGUAUAAAUGAAUAUGUUAUAAUACCUAGAUGAUUUAACUAAUAACUAAACAUGAUUUUAUCGAAGUAUUUUCAGUUUCAAAACCCUUCAUCGUAACAUUCCUAGAUUCAGCCAUAACGUAUAGGCUGUGUUUGGGGUAUUACAUUUAGUGGUAUCAGAGCUAGGUUACAAAACUCAGGCUGUAAAUUUUGAGUUUCAAAAUUGUAUUUCAAAAAAGAAUUGGUUGAUAAUUUAGAUCAUUUUGAGUAAGUAUAUGGUACACCGAGUCUCCGGCGCCAAUACUCUAAGUAUCUCUAAAUUUAGAAAACACUAAAUUAGUACUUUUUAAAAUUGUACUAAGUUAGUUAGAGACUAAAGCCUCUGAAAUACUUCUGAACUUCUGAUAAAUUAAGUAUAAAAUAUCUGCUAAUAAAUACUGGAACUGAUGCAUAAAAUUCUAUAAUAUAGAUAAAAUUGAAAAUACGAUGAGCGCUCGUGGAACUCACGGUCGUAUUAUUUGUGGUUGUGGUGGGUGUCGUAGGAGGGCUCGAGCUAAGUAUUCUUCUCUGUGUAGUAUGCCAAAUUUAAACACAAGUGAGACACUAGUUUCACUUGCUAUUGAGACUGGGCCUCAAAGCCGCUCGGCGGGGGACGACGCAUUGUCCCAAGCCAUGUUGAGAGUAUUGGAGAGGGUCGUUGGACCCCAUUCUAGAUCUGGGGUUCGUAGGUCGGUAAUUGAAAUACUUCAGUCCAAUGAAGCUAAGUUGUUUAGGGGCGUCACUAGAGUCGCCCCUACUGUGGCUGAGUAUUGGUUAAAGGCCACUGAGAGGAUUAUGAACGACAUUGAAUGCACUCCUAAGAAGAAAUUGAAGGGUGCAAUCUUUUUGCUUCGUGACAAAGCUUAUCAGUGGUAGUUGUCAGUUGAGGAACGUACUCAACCAAAUCAUCUGAACUGGGACUAACUUAAGACUGCUUUCUAAGGAAAAUAUGUGGGUACAAUUUAUGUUGAUGCUCGUAGGCGUGACUUGAGCUUAUGAAUCUCAUGCAAGGUGAUAUGUCUGUGGCCGAGUAUGAGGCCGAGUUUCUAAGAUUGAGCUGCUACGCUCGAGCUAUGAUGGCAUCUGAGUAUGAGAAAUGUGUUUGUUUUAAGGACUGUUUAAGGGAUAGUCUAAGGGUUCUGAUUGCUCCGCUGAGGGAGCGUGAGUUUGUUGUUUUGGUAGAUAAGGCGAAGAUUGCUGAAGAGGUUGAGCACGUGGAGCACCUAAACAGGAAGCGAUAGAGAGGUAAGAACAAGAGGGAUUUGGUGCCCUCUAGUGCUGUUUAGAGGCCUAAAAAGUGGGCUAGACCUGAUUCGCUUGUUAGAUUGAGAGUUCGUGUUGCUCCUACUGGGAUUCAGCCUUGUGGUGAUUGUGAUAGGCCAUCCGAGCACGUGUUGGAAGAGAUUAGGGGCUUGUCUGCGGUGUGGGUCUUUGGAGCAUGGGAUUAGAGAAUGUCCACAUCGUGCUGAUCAGACGCAAGCUUUGGGACUGAGUUUUGAUCAACCUCAGAAGGCAGUACAACAACCACCUAGGGGCCAUAGACCGGCUAGGAGUGGUAAUGGUAUCGGCUGAUGACAGAAAGCACCGGGUAGAGGUGCUAAUCAGAUUGAAAUGAGGCAGCCUGUAUUGGUUUAUGCUGCUUGAUGCCGAGAGGAUAAUGACAUUCCUGAUGUGAUCACGGGUAUGUUUUUAAUUUUUGAUGCUCCAUAUACUGCUUUGAUAAACAUAGGUUCUACGUACUCCAAUGUAGCUAGUACUGUUUCUAGGAACUUGGGGAUUUUUGUUGAGUGCGCUUCUGGUGAUAUUAUUGUACUAAGUCCAUUGGGAUAGUCUAUUCGAGUAAAUAAACUUUAUAGGAAUGUUUCGUUAAAAGUAUAAGAGGCUGCGUUUUCAGAAAAUUUGAUAGAGCUACCAUUUGGGGAGUUCAACUUAAUUCUGGGUAUAGACUAGUUAGUUGAGCACCGAGUUAGGUUCAAUUGUGCGACUAAAAGGGUUGUUCCGAGGACCGGGGAUGAUAAGGAAGUGGUUGUGAUCGAUGAGCAUCGAGAUUACUUGUCUGAUGUGUUCUCCACUUUAGUGGCUGAGAAAUUGGUUUAGAAAGGGUAUGAGGCGUAUUUGGCCUAGUCAGUGUUUCAGUUCUAGGAACUCUUCUGUCAAGGAUAUUAAAACAAUGAAGGAAUUUUUAGAUGUUUUUCCUGAGGCAUUACCAAGUUUACCUCUAAAUUAGGAAGUUGAGUUCGGCAUUGAGCUUCCAUCAGGUACAGCUUCGGUGUCUAUCGCUCCAUACCGUAUGGCACCGAAGGAGCUUACAGAGUUUAAGGCUCAACUUCAAGAGCUUCUAGAUCGUGGUUUCAUCCAUCCUAGUAUGUCUUCGUGGGAGGUAUUGGUUCUGUUUGUAAAGAAAAAUGAUGGUACCAAGAGGAUGUGCAUCGACUACCGGCAGUUGAAUAAACUGGCUGUGAAGAAUAAGUACCCACUUUAGAGGAUUGACAACCUAUUUGAUCAGUUCCGUAAGGCUACGGUAUUCUAAAAAGUAGAGCUUCAUUCUAGGUAUCAUCAGCUUAGGGUUAAGAAAGCUAAUAUUCAUAAGGCAGCUUUUAGGACUCGUUAUGGGCACUACGAGUUUCUAGUUAUGCCCUUCGAUUUGACGAAUGCUCCGGCUACAUUCAUGGAUAUGAUGAACCGAGCUUUUCAGCCGUAUCUGGACCAGUUCUUCGUAAUCUUCAUUGACGAUAUUCUGGUGUACUCUAAGACUAAGGAUGAGCAUGGUGCGCAUCUUAGAGUAGUGCUUCAGAUGCUCCGAGAGAAACAACUCUACGCUAAGUUGAGCAAGUGUGAGUUUUGGUUGCGAGAGGUAACUUUUCUGGGACAUGUGGUUUCUGCUGAGGGGAUUCGAGUUGAUCCUUGAAAGAUUGAGCUUGUGCUUGAUUGGAAGCAGCCUAAGAAUGUUUCUGAUAUCCGUAGUUUUCUGGGUCUUUCGGGUUAUUAUUGGCUGUUUGUUGAAGGGUUUUCACUAAUUACGGCUCCUUUGACUAAGCUUCUGCUCAAGAGUGUUUCUUUCGUUUGAACUGAUAUGCAAAAAUCGAGCUUUGAAAAGCUCAAGUCCGUUUUGACUCAAGAUCCUAUUCUGAUAUAGCCUGAAUUUGGUAGGGAGAUUGUGGUGUACAGUGAUGCGUUGCACAUCGGUUUGGGAUGUGUACUGAUGCAAGAUGGUAAGGUUGUGGCUUAUGCGUCCUGUCAGCUUAAGUCAUAUGAGGGGAAUUAUCUGAUGCAUGAUCUCAAGUUAAUCGCGGUGGUGUUUGUGUUAAAAAUCUAGAGGCACUAUCUGUAUAGUGAGAGGUUUAUUAUCUACACCGAUCACAAGAUCCUCAAGUACCUCCUUACUCAGAAGGAGUUGAAUCUUAGGCAACGUUGAUGGAUUGAGUUGCUCAAAGAUUAUGACUGCACGAUAGAGUAUCAUCCUAGUAAGGCCAAUGUGGUGGUCGAUGCUCUUAGUCAAAGAACGAUGACUGAUUUGAGGGUUAUGUUCGCUCGUCUCAAUUUAUUUGAUGAUAGAGGUCUGUUAGCCGAGUUGCAAGUUAAGCCAACUUGGAUUGAUCAUAUUCGAGUUAAGCAGUUAGGGGAUGAUUCUAUGGUUCUGCGGUUUUGUUAGGUUGAGAGUCAUAGUACUUUUGAUUUUGGACUGAUUAAUGAUAGAGUUUCGUGUUUCUGAAGUCGGGUUUGUGUAUCGAGCAAUUGUGAUUUGAGGCAGUCAAUUUUGAGGGAAGCACAUAGUAGCCCUUAUGAUAUGCAUCCUGGUGGUAAUAAGAUGUAUCGGGAUCUUCGUGAGUUGUACUGGUGGCCGGGAUUGGAACGUGAGGUAACAGAUUUUGUUGGUUGUUGUCUGACAUGCCAGCAAGUUAAGGCUGAACACCAGUUGCCUUCAGGUUUGCUUCAACUUGUUAAGAUUCCCUUGUGGAAAUGAGAAUGAGUGACGAUGGACUUUGUUAGUGGAUUGCCCUUGACAUCCAUUAAGAAUGAUUCUAUUUGGGUCAUCGUGGAUCGAUUAACCAAGUCUGCCCAUUUUAUUCCGAUUUAGACGGACUACUCUCUGCAAAAGUUAGUGAAGCUCUACAUCUCUGAGAUUGUAAGACUGCAUAGGGUUCUGGUUUUGAUAAUUUCUGAUAGGGAUCUUUACUUUACUUCUCAGUUCUGGAGGAAACUGCAUGAGGCUUUAGGUUCAAGAUUGGACUUCAGUACCGCGUUUCAUCCUCAAACCGAUGGUCAAUCUGAGAGAGUGAUUCAGAUACUGGAGGAUAUGCUUCGGAGUUGUGUGAUUGAUUUCCAAGGUAGUUGGGAGGAUUUUCUGCCGUUAGCUGAGUUCGACUAAUGUAACAGUUUCCAGUCUAGCACCCAGAUGGCACCUUACAAGGCUUUGUAUGGUCGUAAGUGUCGUACUUCGCUAUGUUGGACUGAAUUGGGUGAGCAACGAAUUUUGGGUCCUGAGUUGGUUUUCGAGACUAAAGAUAAGGCUAGACGAAUUCAGGAUCGUCUGAAGGCGGCUUCUGAUAGACAGAAAUCCUAAGCGGAUCUGAAAAGAAGGGAUAUCCUCUAGUCACAAUCAAACCUUCUUUGAUUCUGAUCGGACCAUCUGUAUUUAACUGAACCCAAUUACUAGCAAGCUAAGGAUAUUAAAUUUUCGUGUUUAAUAGUUUUUAGAAAUUAUAUUUUGUAUUAAACUUUUGUCUGAAUUUCUUUCAAUAUCAAAUUACUCUUUAUAACGUAUGGUAUUUUAUGUCAUAUAUAUAUUUUUUAAAUUGUGUACAUGCAAUUUAGCCUGUAUAAUAUUAAUGGCAUUACUAGAUUUAAUUUUUUUUUAACUUUUGAAAUUUUUUUCUUUUACUAUUUUUAAAGAAUAACCAAAUAUUUAGAAUUCAAUCAAAUGAGAAUUUAGUUCAGUUGACAAAAAUAGAUAUCUUGAAUCUUGAGUACUUCAGUUUAAGACCUACUAUGCACAAAUAUUUACGUAAGGUUUUUUAAUUUUAAUUUAAUUAAUUUUAAUUUAGUUUUAAUCUCGAUUAUAUUAGAACGAUCGAUUUAUGAUUAUUUAUAUUUGUAAUUAUAUUGUACUUGUUACGCUAAAAAAAAUAAAAUUAUUUCACUUUUCCUUUUCUUUCAGAAUAUUUCAUAUUAAUUCCUAAUCGAUCCAGACAUCUGUUUUGUGGUUGCAUCCACUUUAAACUUCAUAAUUCCAAAAUAAGGUGAGCAAAUAAAAGGAUUUGCCUUCCAAUUAUAUAUUCUCACUAAAGGGAAUAUGCAAGUGCCUUCGUUCAUCAUCAUCAUGUGCAUGUGCUUGAUUUUCCCUUUUACCUGGCUAAUUGAAAUGUAUACAUGGGAGUGUGUAUAUAUACAUGCUAAUUGUCACCAUCUUUUAAAGCAUAUAUUCAGCUCCCUGAUAAAUUAUAGAGGAAUAUAUGUUUGUUAGCAUCCUUAUUUAUUAAAGUGAGAUGUUUAAUAAAUACGAGAUUUAUGAUACACUUACAUUUAUAAUAUAAAUGAAAAAUAAAGUUAUUUAACAAACAUAUUUAUUAAAAUUCAUAUAAUAAGCAAUUGAUAUUUUUUAUUAUAAAUGUAAAGUUAAUUGUUUACCAUGCUUGAAUUUAGAGUUGUCUAAGUGUUGAGUUACUCGUCUGAACUCGAGAGUUUGCUCGAAAUAUGAGAGGGUUUAAACAAGUAGACAAAGCUAAAAAAAUAGACUUAGGAAAAUAUAUAGACCCGUUUCCUAUUCGAGCUAGGCCUUGAAUAGAGUUUUUAAGCCCGAGCCUAACCCGACCUGAAUAUAUAUAAUUUCUAUAUUGAUUCUAUUCCUUUGCUGGGUAUGGAACAUUUGAAGGUGUGCAAUUUACUUACGGCAUGUUUGGUUGGGUGUAUUGGCUAUGCCAAUACACCCCUAAUCGGUGGGCCCCACUUAAGCUCCCUUUAUUCCGUUGUUUGGUUCAUGGUAAUGCUAUUACGGGUGUAAUCUAUUACUGCCCUAAUCGGUGAAAUCCAUCGAUUUGUAAUACAGCCCUUUUGCUCAGAUUAGGUGCUGCAUCCAAAUCCCUCCCUGUUUUACCCUCCCAAUUGGCUUCCCCAUUCCAUCGCCUCUUCCUUCGUUCUACCUUCGUUCUACCUUUGCCUCCCGAUUGGCUUCCCCAUUCCUUCGCCUCUUCCUCUGUCUCUCAACCUCUUCUUUUCUUUUUCUUUACAACCAGUCACUCUUUCGUUUUGCCUUCUCAACCAGUCGACCUUUUUCUUUUCUUUUUCUCUGUGUCACUCCUUCGAUUGCUCUCAAUUGAUGGGUUUCCAGGUUACUGCUACUGAAAGGUAAAGGUUUCUAACUCUCUUUUGCUCUCAAUUAUCCUGUAAUUGUUCUAACUCUCUUCUUCUCUCUGUACUGAGUUUUAAUGGCUGUCUUGUUAGUGUCUUCUUCAUUGCACUUUCAGGGCCUGAUCAUAUAAACUUCAUCGAAACACGGAAUCUUUUGUUUCUUCUUCUCUUUUGCUGGAGUUUUUGCUUUAAUUUUCGGUAAAAAUUUCUUACUAAUCUUUGAUUUUGGUUGUUUUCUCAUUGGUUGAUCUUUACGGCCCUCAUGGAAUCAAAGACCUGAAAGUUUAAAGGGAAUUUUCCUUACUUUCUUGAUAAAAUUCAAUUUAAAACAUUCCAAUAAUUUUUUCCACCUUGUGAUUGGUAAUUUUUCACUUCUUAAUUCUUUUUGAAUAAUUGAGUUAUCUACUUCGUUAUUAGAUGAUUAUUGUUAUGAUUAUUUGAAGAACAGUAACUUGUGUACAUGGAGUUUAUUUUGUUCUAAUUGCGUGACAGGUUUUCGAUGCUUAGUUGCAUGUUAAACAGAAAUCCAGAAUGAUCCUAUCAAUGCAAGAAAAGUCACAGUUUAUUCCAAUUUACAAUCAUUUUUUUCUUUUUCUAUGUGUGUUUUUAUCUUGUUAGGAUUAGACUUGCUCAUAUUCAUUUUCGUUCAGUAUGUUGUUUUUUCUAUUAGAUUUUCAUUUUUCUGGAUUGUUCUUUUAAAAAAUGAAUGAUUUUUCCUAGUAAUCUAAUUUAAUUUGUGUUUUUAUGUUAUGGGGGGCUAAAAUGAUUAGUAUUCUUCUCCAGCAAAGAGAAUGAAGCCAGAGGUUUCUUCGUUGAAUCCCUGUGCAGCAUCAUACAUACCACUUGCCAAAAGGGAGGGUUCCAUAGCUAAAGAUAUUAAGGCUGGAAAUGAGUCUGCUUGGUUUGAUCCUUCCUCACGUAGCAAUGCUUCACUUGAAUCUGCAAUCCCUGGCAUUGGAAACCACCUGGUUGCACUGAAAAGCGACCCUGGUCAUGGUUCUUUGAUGCAAAAUCAGGGUGAAAUGAGUGGCGAGCAGAUUAUGGAUGAGGAAUUCGACAUGGAUUUGGAGUAUCUUCGCAUGAUGUUCCCCGGUUUGUCCAAUGACUCUGUUCUGGAUGUCUACAUGGCUAAUAAUGGAGACUUAGAAGCCACUAUUGACAUGCUGAACCAACUUGAGGUAAAUUUUGCCUAUCUUUAUUUUAUAAUUUAUAUAACUUGAUUGUCUGAGUGGUCUUGCUGGAUUAGUUUUCUAUAUUAUUUUCAUCUCGAAUGUUUCCUAUAUUAUUAGCUCCUCUUACUGUUCCAUCCUGCAGAUUUCCAAGUGUCCCUCUAUGAAAGUGCUAGUAGUGAAGUAAUUGAAUUUAUGAAUAAUUUUCUGAUGUUAUGGGUAACAUAUUUCACUUGUUUUUAACUGUAUGACAUCAAAGAGUUAAGGAUGUUAGUCUGCAUUCAGGCCUAUUUCAGCAUAACCAUGGUUUUUCUUCAUUUGUUUUAAUCCUCCCUGUGCAAAUGAUAGAGAUUUUUCAACCUGUUUUUGUCUCCCACCUUUUGAACUUUCAUAUGAUUUUAUACAUUGAUUUAUGUCAAUGAUUUCCCCACAUAUUUUGUUCUUAUGGAUCGUAUACCUUCAGAUGCUUUUAUUGUUUUUAUUCACCUCACUUUCAGUUGAAUAUAUUAUAACUGAGGGUUGUGUAGUGUUAUCUUGUUCAUAUAAAUUUGUUUGGAAAUUUACCUAUUCUAUAAUGCCAUUAAUAAUGUAUGCUAAUUUGAAUAUUGGGGAUAGGAUGUUUUCCUCAUGCUGCUUGCUUCUUGUUUACUCAUUGUACGGCAAGUUCUUUCUUUGGUUUCAUUAGAAGUGAUUUCUGGAGUAUUUGUGAUUUUGAUUCUUGAAUUAGUUUAUGGUUGGGAUUAAAAAUGCACAUUUUUGCCCUUAUUUCAGUAUUCAUGUACAUUGGAUAGUUCUCUUUGUUAGAUGUACACUGUUGAGUCCUCUGACACUCUUCCCGACACAUUGGAUAUCGGUGAUAUCUCUGAAUUUAUCUCUUCAGCAAACUGUGGUACUCUUAAACUGAAGAAUGUGGCAGGUGAAACCGGCGCGUCUUCAUUAGGCUCUACAGAAUCAGCUGUUACCUCCUGAUUGACAUAAUCAAAGGGGUUUCAGUGUUUCUAGUUUUAGUUGUAUCUCUCAGUGGAUAAGAAGUGUACACAAGUAGGGUUCUUCUUCAAGGUUGAGAAAUGUAGUACUUUGCUUUUAACACUUGAAGGGUUUAACAUUGGAUGUGUAGUUGUAUGCUGUAACAUUUGUUUGGUCGCUCAACUUUUUCUACAUUUGUUUGGCGAUGGAAGAGUAUUUGUUUUGUUUAUGCCUUUGCUGGGGGUUCAUUUUCUCUAUAUAAUAUAAUAACUUAUAUUAGAAGUAAAAUUGUAUUUUGCUUUCUACUAAAAGAAUGGGCAAAUUAGUUCGUGUACGUAAGAUUAAAGAGCAAACUAAUCUUUUUGUUAAAAAUUUCAUCCAUUUUUAUAAUUAAAACCGGUCUUUAUAUGUCGGCAUGAGGUACACGUGGUACAUUACAUGUAAUUGUCUGAUUAUUUUUAUUGUUAACAAUUGAUCUUUUUACAUAGUUUGUGAUAUAUGCACAAAUGAGGUGAAAUUUAUUAAAUUUUAUUCACCGAAUCUAUCAAUUUUCAAAUUUGGAAAAUCAGUCGACUUGCAACGACUUUUUGGAUAGGAUCAAACAUUCUUGGAUUGAGAUAUUUUCAUAGUGUUUGGAGAUCUCUUAAUAUAAGAAUAUUAAUUAUUAAGAAUUUUAUUAAAUUAUAUAUUUUAAUUAUAAUAUAUUUAAUAAUAAUUAUGUUUAAAUAUGAUUAAAAUAUUUAUUAUUGAUAUUAAUAAUCUUAUUAAAAUUUAAAUAACAAUAACAAUAAUAAUUUACCAAAACAAAUUUCUGCUAAUUAUUAAGAAUUUUAUUAAAUUAUAUAUUUUAAUUAAAAUAUAUUUAAAAAUAAUUAUUUUUAAAUAUGAUUAAAUUAUUUAUUAUUGAUAAUAAUAAUCUUAUUAAAAUUUAAAUAAUAAUAACAAUAAUCAUUUACCAAAACAAAUUUAUGCUAAGGGUAUUCUAGUCAUUUUAGUUUUUUCCAUUAUGUUAUUACACCUCUAUUCCAUUCAACCAAACACAAGAUUACUAUUACGCCUCUAUUCCAUUACAUUCAACCAAACAGUUGAUUUGCUAUUACACCUCUAAUCCAAUACACCUCUAAUCCAAUACAGCUCUAAUCUAAUACACAUCUAAUCUAAUACAGCGAACCAAACGCACCCUUAGUGAUACUGAUGAUGUCUAAGUUGAUUGUAAUUACAUUUAUAAGAUCCCGAUAGCUCUGCAUAAAGGUUUGGAUAAGAUGAUUUGGCGUUGCUCUAAUAAUGGAUUAUAUUCAAUAAAAUCAGGAUGCAAGUUAGCCUCUGAUUUGUAUUCAAAUUUUGUUUCGAAUGAAGCCGGCGGUCCUCGAUUGAAGAUUUGGAAUGGCCAUUUCCAAUCGGAGGUGAACUAUUUUACUUGGAGGUGUCUCAGAAACUUUAUUCCUACCAAGGCAAUGUUAAUUGUUAAAGGAUUAAAUGUGCCUUCUAUUUGUGCUAAAUUUUAUAUAUAAACUUACGCCCUGUUUGAGAAUGUUAAUCAAUUAAAAAUUAAUAUUCAAUUAAUUGAAAAUUGAUAUGUAAUUUUAGUUGAAAUUUGAUGAAUUGUUUUUUUUAAAUGGAAUGGCAAUAUUUGCAUGAUAUUUUGAGUUCAAAUAUCUUUAUGAUUAAAUUUUUAUUGAUUUAUUAUAUGUAAAAAAGAUUAAAAAAAGAAAGAAAAGAACAUUAUCACAAAAAUAUAAUUUAAUUAGUAUAUAAGAGAAUAUUUUAAUAAUUUUAAAAUUGAAUUGAUAAUCCAUCACACUGGUAUAGAUUAACUAAGGAGUGUUUCAAAGUGUUGAACGCCUCAUGGUCUGGAAAACAUGGCCAUAAAAACAAUAUACUAAACACAUAAGUGUAAGACCCAAAUUUUGCCCAAGCCUAAAAUAUUUACAGUCCAAUUACAAAACCCAAUAUUUAACCUAAACUAUCAGCCCAAUUAAGACCUAAAACAAAGACCCAAAACCAAGCCCAACACGGCCCAAACUAACAAAAACCCUAAUGCCUCGAUAGGCCCAAAAUCUAAACAAAUUUCAGCCAAAAUAUGGAAGCAGAAACCCAAGUGCGCCGCUCCCUACGUGGUGUCAGCACCUUCUCCGCUGCAACGCUGCCACUGGCCUCCUCCACGCCUCUGACAGCACCUGCAAAACCAAAGCAACAAGCAAAACAACAGCAGAGACAACAGUGGCAACAGAGUAGAAGGAAAACGAAAUAGUAGAAUAUAUUGUAAUUUAUUCGACUAUAAAAGCCUCGAAAAAUCAGUGUAUCAAGGGGGAUUUUUGGGGAACAAAAAAGAAAAUCGAAUAAAAGAGAAGAAAUUUGAAACAAAAUACCAAAGGUGAUUCCUCUUUUUAUUUUUUAUCUUACUUUCAAAAAAAAAACAAUAAACAAAAGCACGGUCUUUUUACCUGAGUCGACAAACCUUCCACAGUGGUCGAAAGUCCUCUCCGGCGUUCGAAACCUAGAACCCAUAGUGGUUCGGCGUGAUGAUUUUGAGAGACGUUGUAACGCCUCAAUUUUUAGGCCUGGAAGUAUUGGGCCUUCAGUCUAGGUUUGGGUAGAAGACGGCCCGAAUAAUUUGGAUGUUAUUAUUAUUAUUAUUUCGUAUGUUUAGUUUAGUAAUUAAAUAAAUUAUGAAGGGUUUAUGGUGUGGGAAAAGGUCCAGGGCUCGGCCCAUAGCUUUAGCAAAAUUAUUAAAUUUUGCCUCUUAAGGGAAUCUGGGCAAUAGGCCUUAUUAAUAAUUUGGGCAAGGAACUUGGUGUUGGCCGAAUAUUGGACUCUUGAGGGGCAAGAGUUGGCCGACCAAGGGUCUUUAGUAUAGGCAAUUCGGCUAGGUCUAUGUGCUUUUUAAUUUUUCCCUUGACGAAUAUUAUUUCCCUUCUCCCCUCUCUUUUAUUCAUAUUUUCUUUUCUUUUUCCCUCAUAGCCGAACCCAUACCCCUUUCUUUCUUCAUUAUUUCUUAAAAGUCAAAUCUUAUUAUAGCCGAACCUCUAUUCUUUUCUUCCUUAAAAAGCCAAAACCUUCAUACCUAUGGUUUAGGAAGCCGGAUCUUUGGCUACUUGAACCUGUUUCUUCUAACUACGGUAGAUCGGGAUUAAUAUCAUAGAUAUGAGCACUUUUCUGGGCCAAACAAUGAUUGGUAAGUUUGUCGAAUAAUUUUUGUUAAUUAUUUAUGAUUUAAUAUAAAAGCGGAAACCCCUUAAGGGUGGCUAAUGUUUGGACUAAGGGCGUUAGUGCCUCUUUUUUUCCAUUGUAUAAGCAUUAGCGUGGACAAAGGGGCGUGCAGUAAAGGGUUUGAAGACUGAUUCGGACUGGAUAUCUAGAUCUAAUCCAUAUUUCGGCAAAAAGGUAAGAACUCUAGGGUUAAGGGAUGUUGGCCGAAUUUGGUAAGGGGGAAUAGUACGUAGUUUGUUUUCGGUAUGUAGACUGACAUUUAGUAACUCGAUUGUAGGAAACCCCUGAGUGGAUCUCGCCAGCAUACCGUUACAAAUCAGGUGUGUAAACGACACCCACUCAUAGACUAGAUCGGCAAAAGCCGAAAAGUUGAAAUGCCGAAAAGUCGGCAUUUUGUGAACUUGCGAGCGUGCGAGUGCUCGUGAGGUGGUUAGUUUGUUAAAUUUUGGUAAUCACAAGCGGUAUGAUUGUAGAGUGCGCAAUUUCAUGCACUUCAGUAUAUUUGGGCUUAAUGGGCCGAAAACGGGUUAGUGGGCCAACGGGCCUAAUUCGGUAAAAACGCUCGGUAGGUGUUUUUGUUAAUGCGUUAAUAACUAUAAUGAGCAUGAAACCCUAAAAAUAUUGAUAAAAUUACUGAAAUACCUCUGUAAGAUAGAAUUACCGUAAUACCCCUAAAGGGGUAAGUUUACGAUUACGCCCCUCGAGGGUAAAUAACUAUUCUUACGCUAUAAUCUGACUGUCUUUCUGAAGCAUGCCUUGUUAAUUAUAUAUAUAUAUUCUACAUACAUGUCAUACUGCAUGGGGUUGGGUUUUGUUAUGGAGGAAGAACCCGUUCUGGUAGCUGUGCCACAUAUUCUGAUAUAAGCAACUUGGCUGCGGAUUAUAGUUAGUGCCGCAACUGGUGCUAACACUGUAAGUGUAAGGAUGGCGUGGGUGAUUUAUUCCCCACAGGAAGUGUAGGGAUGGACGGAGGCAAGUGCAGGGUUGGAUGGGGUUAUCAUGUGUUAAUCAUAUGAGACUGUUUUAUUAUGGGCCAACUGUAUUGAAAUGGGCCCAACUGUGUUGAUAUGGGCAAGGCCCAAUAUAUCUCGACUUGUAAUAGGGCUAUCGCCCAGAUUAAUACUAAUAUGGGCUAGACCCAGUAUACUUUGAUAUUGUAAAGGGCUAUGGCCAGAUUAAUAUUGAUAUGGCCUAAGGCCCAGUUAGCCCUGAUUUUUGAAUAGAGGUUAGGCCUAGUAAAGCUUGAACUGAUUUGGGCUCUGGUUGGGAUACUUUACACACUGAGUUUUCUAAACUCACCCCAUUUUUUCCUAUCUUUGCAGGUGAGCCUUAGAUCGGUGGACUUGGAGCUGGAGGGAUUCAGAGUGGCCAUGUGGACUGUUUAAAAUAAGUGUUUAUACCUUCACUUUUAUUUUAGAUUAUUUCCUUUAUGUUUUCGGGUUUUUAAUUUGUAAUAAGGCUGCUUUAAUUAUUUUUUAAUUGUUUUUAGUAUGUUUUGUUAGCUUAGAUAUGAUAUUGUUUUAAUUGUUUGAAAUUGAAUAGCUCUAGGGCGUGUUUUCAAAAGAAAUUACCUGAUUUCAAAAUAUCGCGAAACAAGACAAAGCUUCCGCAACGAAAACGUUUUCAAAAUUUAAUAAGUGAUUUCAAAUGGAUAAAAACGAAAUGGUUUCUUCUAAACAAUCGCUCAGUUAAAGUGUGGCAAUGGUUGUGUGCAUGUCUAGGAGUGGAUCCGUGGAGAGCUUGGUACUUAAGCAGUCUAAUAGACUCACCUCCUCUUUUCUAGUAUCCUACCUGGUGCACAGCUCCCAUUCACUUUAAUUUAAAACGAAAAUAUUCUUUGAACACUAAGAAAAAAAUUUAGAUAAGACAUGAGUUUUCAGUUACGCUUUAAUGUGACACGUUGGAUUCGACCGUAAUAUAUGAGCCGGGUUUGGGGUGUUACAUUUAGUGGUAUUAGAGCCCAGUUGCAACAACUCGGCUGUGGAUCGGGUCCGAACGUUUUUCAUAAAAUUUUGAAAUCUAGUUCCAUGGAAAAACACUGAAAUCGAUUUUGUGGAAAUGUUAGAAAAUUAUUUUAAAUUUUGUUUUCAAAGUGCACAAAGAAUAAAUUUGAAUUUUACUAAGUGCACAAAGAAGUGGCACACUGAAUCCCCGGCACCAAGUCUGUAAGUACCUUUUCUGAACUUUACUAAGUAUUUGUUAUAUUACUGAGACUCUGCUAUGACAUUAUAGUUAGAGCUAGAGUGCACAGUAGAAGCAUAGUGGUUUGGCUUGAGUAAUACGGUUAGUUGAUAGUUUGAAAUUUCGAGGACGAAAUUUCUUUAAGGGGAGUAGAGUUGUAACGCCCCGAUUUUUGGGCCUGAAAGUAUUGGGCCUUGAGUCUGGGUCUGGGUAGAAGACGACCCGAAUAAUUUGGAUGUUAUUAUUAUUAUUAUUAUUUAUUAUUUCGUAUGUUUAGUUUAGUAAUUAAAUAAAUUACGAAGGGUUUAUGGUGUGGGAAAAGGUCCAGGGCUCGGCCCAUAGCUUUAGCAAAAUUCUUAAAUUUUGCCUCUUAAGGGAAUUUGGACAAUGGCCUUGUUAAUAAUUUGGGCUGAGUUUUAGCAUAAGCAGGCACCUGGCCCAGUGGCUAAGGACGCUAGGAGGGCGUGGGAGGUGCUUGGGUUCAAGGCACAGCGCGCGCAAAUUGGGUGUUUUAUUUUAAUAUGCAGAUGGCGGUUGAAAUAAGGGUUAAGAGGAAAUGCCAGCAUAAUUCAACACAAGGAGCGCCUGUGGCGCAGUGGCAGCAGCGUGCUGGGCACACAGAGAGGGGGCGGGUUCGAGUCCUUGCGCGGGUGAACUCCGUUUUAUUUUUGAAACGGGCCAGAACUGAAGAAGGUAAGGUUAUAAAAUAAUUGAGAGAGGAUUAUGUUAUGGAAGGAACCUCGGUGCAGUGGCAAGCAGUGUAUGUGUGUGUUUAGCAGGUCCUGGGUUCGAGAGGAACAGUAGGCAAAAUUUCUUUUUUAUUUCACAAGUAACCGGAGCUUCAGCAGGUAAGGUUUUAUAAAUAAUUGUAACCAUAUACUAGUAAAGAAUGAAGUGUGGUGCAGUGGCCAGCAGCACUGGCGUAAGUGUAAGGGUAGACGGAGGUUUGGGGUUCAAGUCUCACUUUGUUUUUAUUCAUAUUUUCUUUUCUUUUUCUUUUUCCCUCAUAGCUGAACCCAUACCCCUUUCUUUCUGUCUCUUCCCUUAUUUUACUUUCUUCAUUAUUUCUUAAAAGCCGAAUCUUAUUAUAGUCGAACCUCUAUUCGUUUCUUCCUUAAAAAGCUGAAACCUUCAUACCUGUGGUUUAGAAAGCCGAAUCUUUGGCUACUUGAACCUGUUUCUUCUAACUACAGUAGAUCGGGAUUAAUAUAAUAGAUAUGAGCAAUUUUCUGGGCUGAACAAUGAUUGGUAAGUUUAUCGAAUAAUUUCUGUUAAUUAUUUAUGAUUUAAGAUAAAAGACAGAACCCCUUAAGGGAGGCUAACGUUUGGACUAAGGGCGUUGGUGCCUCUUUCUUUUCCAUUGUAUAAUCAUUAGCGUGGACAAGGGGAUGUGCAGUGAAGGGUUUGAAGACUUCUUCGGAUUGGAUCUCUAGAUCUAAUCCAUAUUUCGGCAAAAAGGUAAGAACUCUAGGGUUAAGGGAUGUUGGCCGAAUUUGGUAAGGGGGAAUAGUACUUAGUUUGUUUUCAGUAUGUAGACUGAUGUUUAGUAACUCAAUUGUAGGCAACUCGUGAGUGGAUCUAUCCAGCGUACCAUUACAAAUCAGGUUUGUAAACGACACCCACUCAUAGACUAGAUUGGCAAAAGUCGAAAAGCUGAAAUGUUGAAAAGCCGUCAUUUUGUGAACUUGCGAGCGUGCGAUCGCUCGUGAGGUGGUUUGUUUGUUAAAUUUUGGUAAUCACAAGUGGUAUGAUUGCAGAGUGCGCAAUUUCGUGCACUUCGGCAUAUUUGGGCUUAAUGGGCCGAAAACGGGUUAGUGGGCCAACGGGCCCAAUUCGGUAAAAACACUAGGUAGGUGUUUUUGUUAAUGUGUUAAUAACUGUAAUGAGCAUGAAACCCUAAAAAUACUGAUAAAAUUACUGAAAUACAUCUGUAAGGUAGAAUUACCGUAAUACCCCUAAAGGGGUAAGUUUACGAUUACGCCCCUUGAGGGUAAAUAACUGUUCUUACGCUAUAAUCUGACUAUCUUUCUGAAGCAUGUCUUGUUAAUUAUAUAUAUAUAUAUUCUGCAUACAUGUCAUACUGCAUGGGGUUGAGUUUUGUUAUUGAGGAAGAACCCGUUCUAGUGGCUGUGCCACAUAUUCUGAUAUAAGCAGCUUUGCUGCAGAUUAUAGUUAGUGCCGCAACAGUUGCUAACACUGUAAGUGUAAGGAUGGCGUGGGUGAUUUAUUCUCCACAGGAAGUGUAGGGAUGGACGGAAGCAAGUGCAGGGUUGGAUGGGGUUAUCAUGUGUUAAUCAUAUGAGACUGUUUUGUUAUGGGCCAACUGUAUUGAAAUGGGCCCAACUGUAUUGAUAUGGGCAAGGCCCAAUAUAUCUCGACUUGUAAUAGGGCUACGGCCCAGAUUAAUACUGAUAUGGGCUAGACCCAGUAUACUUUGAUACUGUAAGGGGCUAUGGCCAGAUUAAUAUUGAUAUGGUCUAAGGCCCAGUUAGCCCUGAUUUCUGAAUAGGGGUUAGGCCUAGUAAAGCUUGAACUGAUUUGGGCUCUCGUUGGGAUACUUUACACACUGAGUUUUCUAAACUCACCCCAUUUUUUUCCCAUCUUUGCAGGUGUGCCUUAGAUCGGUGGACUUGGAGCUGGAGGGAUUCAGAGUGGCCAUGUGGAUUGUUUAAAAUAAGUGUUUAUACCUUCACUUUUAUUUUAGAUUAUUUCCUUUAUGUUUUCGGGUUUUUAAUUUGUAAUAAGACCGCUUUAAUUAUUUUUUAAUUGUUUUUAGUAUGUUUUGUUAGCUUAGAUAUGAUAUUGUUUUAAUUGUUUGAAAUUGAAUAGCUCUAGGGCGCGUUUUCAAAAGAAAUUACCUGAUUUCAAAAUAUCGCGAAACAAGACAAAGCUUCCGCAACGAAAACAUUUUCAAAAUUUAAUAAGUGAUUUCAAAUGGAUAAAAACGAAACGGUUUCUUCUAAAUAAUCGCUCAAUUAAAGUGUGGCAUGGUUGUGUUCAUGUCUAGGAGUGGAUCCGUGGAGAGCUUGGUACUUAAGCAGUCUAAUAGACUCACCUCCUCUUUUCUAGCAUCCUACCUGGUGCACAGCUCCCAUUCACUUUAAUUUAAAACGAAAAUAUUCUUUGAACACUAAGAAAAAAAUUUAGAUAAGACAUGAGUUUUCAGUUACGCUUCAAUGUGACAUGCUGGAUUCGACCGUAACGUCUGGGUCGGGUUUGGGGUGUUACAGAAGUUAAAAAAGUUUUUGGUUAUUUUUUUUAUUUUGGAAGUAGAGGGUUCAAAACGGAGAAAAAAUGGCUCUUUUCGUGUACUCCGACCAUUGUGGACGGCGGCCGCCACGGUGGUCCGGUGAUCGGACCUUGGCCGGAUGCUGGAAGAGGGGAUAGAGUUUGAGAGGUUUUUCCUUUGUUUUUUUUGAGAGGUGUUGAAAAGAGCAAAAAAAAAGAGUGUAAAUUUUGGUUUAAAUACUAGUACUAAAACGAUACUGUUUUGGGCUUUAUGCCCCAGAUGCAAAACGACGCCGUUUCAUCCCUACCCGCGUGUUGACCCGACCCGUCUAGGGGCAUCCACGUGUUUUGACCGAAUGGGCUUGUUGCACUUUUGGCCCUUCCGCUUUUUUAUCAAUUUGCAAUCAAGCUUCCUUUUAUUUGUAAUUCGUGCCCUAUAAUUUAUUUCAAUCAUCAAUUUAGUCCCACACAAAGUGACACGUUUUGGAGGGCAGGAAUAUUUAUUCCUCUAGUCCCUCCAUUUCAUUCGCGCACUGCAAUAUGGUCCUUUCCCUUUUAUUCCUCUCAGAUUUGCCCCGAAUUUUUGUUUUAAGUUCAAAUUGGUCCCUUUUUGUUAUUUUUGCUAUUUUAUUAACUGUUUAAUAUUAUUGUUACUAUAAUCAUAUUUUAUUUUUGUGCUUAUUUAUUUGCUACUAUCAUUAUAUUAUUAUAUUAGUAACUUUGUAUUAUUAUCAUUAUUAUAAUCAUAUUUUCUUUUUGUGUUUCUUUACUUAUUAUUACAUUAUUAAUUGAUCUAUUAUUACUAUUAUUAUUAUUUUCACUAUUACUAUUAUUUUCUAACAUUAUUAUUACUAUUACUAUUAUUUAUUUAUUUAUUUAUUUAUAUCAUUGUUGUUAUUAUUAUUAUUCCUGAUUUUAUUAUUAUUGGUGUAUUAUUAUUAUUAUUCUUCAUUUUAUUAUUAUUUUCUAUUUUAUCAUUUAUUAUUAUUAUUUAUUAUCAAUAUUAUUAUUAUCAUUGCUAUUUUUAUUUUCAUUACUAUCAUUAUUAUUAUUUACUAUUAUUUAUUAUCAUUAUUAUCACCAUUUCCUACUAUUAUUAUUAUUAUUAUCAUCAUUAUUAUUUAUUUGUUUACAUAUGUUUUAUUACAAAUUGUGUCUUUAACUUCAUUUAUCUUUUGAUUCUUUACUUUCAAUAUUUCUUUGUCUUUAUUAUAUUUCAAAACUGGUAUCGUCAUUUCAUGUGCGUGAUUUAUCAUUAGUGUUCUUGUCGUCAUCAUUGUUAUUAUUAUUUAUUUUGUUUUCCUUUGAUGGUUAAUACUGGAAUUAAAGUGAUAUGCAUUAUGGAUUGCUUAUUAGUAUAUUUACAUUAUUGCCACUUAUUUGUGUAACAUUCGAUUCUUAUGCCAUUUUUAUAUUACGCUAAUUCUUACUCAAAUACACAAAAAUAAAAUUUUUAAAAUAAGGCAAUAUUCUGUGUUUGGAGAUUUGAAAGAUCGUGCCCUAACUUAUUGGGUUUCGAUUUUUCUUUGUUCGACCUAAAUGACCGAAUAACCUUUUGAAAUUAAAACGCAUGAAUUUUGAAAAUCAAAAAGCAAGCUUAUUCUCGAGGUUUUAAAAUGCUGUGUCCUAAUUUAUUGGAUGUGACAUUUUAUUACUUCGGGACAAGAAGGUCUUUAACAUCCGUUUCGAUUGAUGCAAGCAAAUUCUUUGUAAAAAAAUCAACAUUAAAAAGAAAGGAUCGUAUUUUUAAUUCUUUUCGAGUUUUUAAAUUUUUACAUUAAGACAUUAAUUAAUCAAUUUGGUACCAAUUUUGGGCGUGACAAGGGUUCUAAUCAUUCCUUGCACGUAACCGACUCCCGAACCCGUUUUCUCAAAUUUCGUAGACAAAAAUUGUUGUUUUAGCAAAUCGAAAUAUUUUAUUAAAAUAACCAAAUUUCUAAGUGAUCUGAUCACACCUAAAUAAAAAGAUUGAUAGCGACUUCCAAUUUUUGUUUUCUUUUCAAAAUAUAAAAUUGAUCCGUUUUAAAAAAAUAGUUUCGAGAGUAAGAAUGUUAGAUCCAAUCGGUUAAAGUAUCCUAUCCCAUUGAAUUUCUAAUUUCCAGCCAAUUGGGUGACUCAUUCUGUCUCGAUUAUGGAUUGAAUAUACACGGAUCCCACAACCCUUUAAAUGACGAGAGUUUCCCACUGCCACAGUUUAGAAAUUCUAUUUUAAAGAGAAGUGACAUUUACCUCAUUUACUCUUAUCGGUUUGUCAUGUUUUGAAUUUGAUCUAUUGCAAAAACUUUCUGAUCUCAUGAUGAGUUUUAUUCACUAUGACACCUUCGUUGACAACAUCCAUCAUAUUUCUUUCCAUGGGUAGGAGUCAUUCAUAAAAAUAUUGGAUGAAUAAUUGUUCCAAAAUUCUAUGUUGUGAGCAACUACCACAUAAUUGCUUAAAUCUCCUAAUACUCGUGAAGAGUCUCCAUACCGUUUUGCUUGAUGCCGUAACUUUUUCCUAGUAGAAAUAGCACAUGACGUAAAAAAAAAUCCGAAAAUAAUCUUAUCAUGUCAAUCCAUGUAGUAAUAGAUCCAGGAGGUAGAUAAUAUAGCCAAUCCUUCACCUUGUUGGCUAGUGAAAAGGUGAAGUCUCUUAGUUUGGUUUGUUCUUUGAUCACUCAUUGUCGUCUCAUAAUAGAACACACUACACCACAUGAAAAUCAUUCAAGUGCUUACGAGGAUCUUUGUUUUUUUGACCACAAAAACUGUUAGUACAAAUAUCCGGUGAGAAAAAUCUCGAACACACGAACAGAACUCGAAAGAAGAAGAAAUAGGACAAGGCUCCAAGGCGUGUAUCAAACCACUUUCUCUAAGAUUAUAUUCGCCCCCACCUAUCUUUGGUGUACAAAUGAGUUCCAAGCAAAUUAACCUUGAUGAUACAAUGAAGCCAAUGACUAUUAGCGUUUUGUACUGACGAGAAUAGCCCACUACACACUGAGCAAUGUAUGACAAGAAACUCAAUUUCUAUAAAGGAUUUUUGCAGUAAUACUUUAUAGAAUAAUCUAAUGAUAUUAGAAAAUGAAGAAAGGAAAGAAAGAAUAUUAGAAUUUGUUGGUAUGAUUUCCAAAUGAAAUCUCAUUCUAUUUAUAGGAAUUUUCAUGUCUCUUCAUAAAGACAUCUUUCAUCAAUAGGUGUCUUUCUGAAUAAUAAUGUCUUUAAAAUAAACACAUAAUUAUUCAAUUAAUUAUAACUAUUCAAAUAAUAUUAUUUAAAUAGUUAUAAUUCUUUUUCAAAAAAUCAAAUAAUAUAAUCUUUUGAUUAAUUACACCCAUUCAUUUAUAGUUGUAAAUAUUUGAAAAUGUUCCAACAAAAAGUAGGCAAUAAAUGAUUUAGUCCAGAUUUUAAUUCAAAAGAUACUUCUAAUCCUAGAUAUUCAAUGCACAACAGUUGUUGCUUCAGAUUUAUUUAAGAGAGAAAUUGGUUAUUCUCCUUUUGAUUCGGUAGAUGAAUCGACUGAAUUGUUCUAUGUAUCUAGUUGGGUAAUGAAGAUGGUUGGUUAGUUCUUGCUCGAACUCUCUUCCUUAGUCUUCGAGCAGUUCUCUCAAACUCAGGAUUGUACAAGAGUUCACCUGCACGAGAAGAUUAAAAUUUUAAUUUUAAUAAAUAUAUUUAAUACUGAGAAAAAAAGAAGAUCAAAACAUAAAAAUGAACAAAAAUUAAAUUAAAUUAAAAACAAGAAAGAGAUAAAAUUAUUAACAUUAAUAUAUGAUAAAAAGGUUAAAAUCUGUACAAUUGUUGAGACCUAUAAAAAUAAAAUCCUACUAAAAAAUAUAAAUUUAGUACAUAACAUUGAGUAGAGUCGUAUUCAUAGAUAUUGAUAAUAACUUUAUUUUUAAAACAAAAACAAGGAAAGUAAAUAUGAUGGAGAUUUUAGAAAAUAAAAAGCUAAAUUUAAAUUUAAAUCUUAACCAAGAAGGCAAUAAUAAAAAUUAUCAAUGAGAUGGAGCUCUAGCCAAUUGUAAAAUAUCUGUUUGAUUCACAAGUUUAAUCAUUGAUGGAAAGAUAAUUCCAUUGUUCUUUAAUAGAUUAGUUCAAAGUUGCCAAUGUCGUACCUAGCAAUCAGUCUCUCCUUAAUUUAUCGAUAACCAAGAGAAAGCUGUUGAAAUUAAUCUUCUUAUCAAUGAACAACCCUAUAACCUCACGUUUAGAAUUUAACUUACCGAUAGAGUUAUAAACGAGAGAGACCUAAUUUUAACCAAAAAAACACACAAGUAGGAUUUAUUUAAAUUAGAUUGCAUUCCCACACAACAUUGAUUGCAUACACAGUUACAGUAUUUAAAUUAGCUCCAUUGGCCAUGGAUUCUACAAGUUGUGUUGACAUUGAUGAUUUUUUUUAUGCUAUUGGUGAUGUCUGUAUUGUCAAAGCGUCAGGUAGAAUGUAUAACAGAUGGCUUGACCAUUGCUGACUUUUACCAAUCCAGCAUGUUUUAAAACUUGGUGGUAGUUGCUGCUACUGGUUAUGUAUUGAGUUGCUGGGAUGCUAGUUAUGUUUUAUUCUGCUGUUGGAAACAUGGUUUGUUGUUGGGGAUUUUUUUGUUGUCAGAUUUACUAUGUUAUGGUUCCUGGUUUAUUGUUUGAUGACUUGAUGGAUGGACGCAGAAGUUGGAGAAAACAUAAGAGUAUAAAUUGAGUCAAAAGAUAAAAUAGUAAAGGCCAUUCUGUUUUAUUUUUCCAUAAUAUUAUACAAACAGUCAACCAUGUAUAUACACAUGGCACUGACAUGAUUGUGAAGGCCUACACACUUUCUAAUGGUUGUACUGGCUAUCAAAAUUUAUUACCAUAACAGUAGUACGGGUAAUGAAGCAGCAGGCAGCUCGUUAUUAUUUAAUUUUGAUAGCCUUAACUACCAGCAUAGCUUGAUGAAGAAGCAAAGGCAGUUAUGCCUCUAACUCAAAUGAUGCCUUCAUUGUGGGUGAACGGCUCACGGGAUCAAUUUCAAUAGAUGCAAUGUACCCAAACUUUGUAACUUUAAAUUUUGGUUUUCCUCUUUUCUCAAGGUUGGUUUUGAUUUGCCCCCAGUGAAUAGGUUGCCUUUGGAUAUCAGUAUAGACCU